AAAAAUUCUUUACAUAUCCUUUAUUAGAGACAACCAUGUGUUUGCAGUUUGCAGAUCAGACGAUAACUUUUCCAAAAGGAAUAGUGAAGAACCUUUGUGUCCGAGUUGGUACCUUAUAUGCCCAGCAGACUUUGUAGUGGUAGAGACCGGAAAUGAUGAGAGAGCACCUAUCAUCUUGGGGAGGCCAUUCUUGAACACCACGGGAGCUAUCAUCUACGCCAGUGCUGCCAAGAUCAGUUUUUACAUCAAAGGGAGGAAGGAGACAUUUUUCUUCAGGAACAAGACUACACAAAUCCCAGAUCAAUCCAGACGUGAGUCAAGGAAGAGGACCAACAGGAGGAACAGGAACAAGCAAGUGUGGACCGAGUCAGCUAAGAUGGUCACUGUAGUUCAUGGGGGCCAAGAUCAUCAGCUUAAGUCACCGUUUUUUACCAAGAAGGAUGACCCAGGAAUGCCAAGCAUCUACUGCUCCAUAAAUGGAUACAACUUCUACAAGGCAACUUGCGACACCGGAUCGGGCAUCAACAUAAUGGCCGCAGUCACCUAUCGGCUCUUGUUCGGAACCAUGCCCCUAAGACCAACAUACAUUCAGCUCCAGAUGGCAGAUCAGACAUUUCGAGAAGUUAAAGGAAUAGUAACUGAUGUCCUAGUCAAAAUAGACGAUCACUUUGUCUACACAGACUUUCAGGUUAUUGACAUGGGAGAAGACGAAUACGAUCCAUCCAUCAUCCUUGGAAGGCCGUUCCUCAGCACCGUUAAAGCAAUCAUCUACAUUGGAACCGAAGAAGUCCAUAUGCACUUCCCCUCAGAGAAGGUACGCCGUUAUUUUACUGACCCUAACUAUAUCGUUGAAGAAUCUAAGCAGGUCAGGAAACGACGCAACCGCAACCAGAGGAGGCAGAUCAUCGAGGACGGAUGGGCAGACUACGAAGGAGAAGUUGUAAGGUCAAAAGACGUAGAGUUUAAACAGAAUUAUCCAGAGGAGAUUGAAGCACCGAGUCAGGUAUGGAAAGAGAAGAUAAUUAUACAUGAAGAGGAGGCGCUGCCGGAAGUACCGCCUACGCCACCCAACGAAUCCCAAGACAAUUGAAAAAAUGGAGAGUCCCGUUCGGAGGACUUAAAAACACCGAACGCCUUGCCAAGAGGUAAACUUGGUAGUUAUCCUUUCCCUUUCAAUUAUUUUAAACAGUUUGCUUAGUUAAUCAUGUUCAUGCUAUCCUAAAAAGAAAAUAAAAAUGUUAAAAAACAGUAAGCCCCAUGUGAGUAAACGAGUGGCAUAAAACCCAUAAGUACAUUCACUGUAGUGGCAUAAAAAUAAAAUAAAUAUUUCCUUUCUACUUUAUAAAAAUGAAAAUAUAAAAACAGGGAGUAACAAUUAUUAAGGAGUCUCAACAUGAUAAAGGCUAGAUAUUUAUGCUAACACUUAAUCAAGUUCCACAAGCUUUGUUGUCUAUUUGAGCUCCACAGGAUUUAAGAAUCAAAAAGACUAGCAGACGGAGGACAUUCUAAUCGCUGUCAGAAUGCUGCUGACUUUCAAAUACACCUCUGCCACCUGCUAGCUACAUCAAGAGAAAUUAUGUUAAAAUUCAGCUUGAGGGAGAGCACCCCCAUUUAUCUCGAUAAGUAUUUCUAUCUAUCUAUCUUUAUACUUAUAUUAUUUUAGAAUAUAAAUAUACAUAACUAGGAAAAAUUAAAUAAAGAUUUUGUGCUUAUAUAUAUAUCUUUUGCUUAGUGUGUUUAAUAAAUAAAUAAAGUAGCUAUGCUAAUCUGUAUCUAAAUAAAAUUCAAACAUGGAUAUGAUGAAUAGUUGUUCUGCCUAAUUUGCAAAUUUUAAGUUCUCUCUCAAGUUUAGACAUAACUGUUAUAAUUUAAAGCUUGCUCUAGACCUAAACUUGUGGGAUGAAAACUUGAUCUAAAGUCUAAGUUGUUAACGGAUAUGAUAUGGGAAGGUUGAGCCGCUGUUUAUCUGUUCCUAGAGAUGCUAGAAUUCUAGAGAAUUUUAUCUUUGAAAAUCUUUAAAAUAUUGCAUGAUGAGUUCCUGUAUGAUGAGAGUUUAAAUUCCUACCACAGCCAUAUAUAUAUGCUUGCUAGACUUUGAGCCACACAUUUACUAUUUACUGCUUAUGAGCAUUGAGUGUGGUCAAGCUGUGUAGACCCUUAGGAGAUUGUCAUGUGGUUUAAAUCAAGAUUUCACUUGCACGUUCACUCAUAUAUGCUACUUCUACUCCGGAAGUACCAUCCACAUAUAUUCACCCAUUCCAUCUCCAGAAUCACCUAAAAAUAUUCUACUCCUAAUCCGGGAGAGAAUAGCCAAAAACAUUUUUGUUUUCCCUUGUGAAAUAAAUGCUCAAGUUAUCUUGUUAUUAACACAUGCUAUAUUAUCUCAAGAGAUGAGUGCUCUAAAAAAAGAGAAGAUACGAGGAAAUAAAAAGGAGCAAGUGCUCGGAACCUCGAAAGAAAAAGAAAAAGUGCGACGAGAGGUAAAAAUGGACAAGUGUCCGACAGUAGAAUUAGGGGUACAAGAUACCCACCUGAGAGAAAAGAAAAAGAAGAGCAUCUCAUUCUCCUCAUAAAAUUUCAGAAAGCAAGGAAGGUAUGUAUCCUCUCAAAAGAGCAAAGUAGAAUUAGACUUCCACCACUAUUGUUUUCACCAUUGUUAUCACCAUCAUCACCAUACACCAUUCAUUCGCCACACAUGCACAUCUUGAUUUGACUUAUUGAUUUGUUACUUUGGAUCCAUGGUUUGAAUAUGCAAUACAUGUCUUGUAAGUAUGUAUACUUUAUCUCCCACCUAUGAGCUCCAGAUAUUAAAGCCUUAUUAGAGUAGGGUGAGGGAGAAGGCAAUGUCACUAUGCCUUAUACCACAAAUACUACAUAUAUUGAGAGAAGGCAUAUACCAUCACUGCCUUGGUAAGGAUCCAGAAAUACCACAAAAGAGAGAUAUGAGAGAGUCAUACAAGGAAUUCUGAGUUUUAUUUGAAAAUCUGCAAAAACCCCAGAGCUAUAGCUGAAUCAAGAAUAAGAGACAUGGCACUUGACUAGACUGUUCUAUCUUUUAACCACUCAAGACAGAAGUGACAGUUACAAGUCCCAUGGUGGAAGGUAAAGUAAGUUUUAAGUCUUGACAGAUUACUCUAACUCAGAGAUAAGAUCUUAUUUAAAAAGCAUGUGUACCGUCAAUUUUUAAAAAUAUUGCAACAACUUAUGAUCCAUAGCUGAGUCUAUCCUUGCUCAGGGACGAGCAAGAGGUAAGCUUGGGGGAGUUUGUUGACGGUCCUUAAGUAUCAAAUUUAAUUAUCAAAUAAAUAAAGAAAAGGAUCCAAAUGAAAUCAACAUCUAGACUUAGGGUUUUAUCUGACAGAAUUCCACGAGUUUUGGUGUUUGUCUAUUUCUGCAGGGGGUUAUCAGGAAAUACGGAAGAAAGGCCCACACGUCGGGAUUACAUAGAGAUAUUAACGUGCCGCGCAAUUAUCUUACAUCUAGAAGACUCCAGAAGCAACGAGACCAAAGCGGAGGCGAAACGGGGCCUAACCCUAGGCGCCCGCCCAGGUGGUCAGGCCGCCCGCCCACCUCCUGAGUCCAAUCAGGACUCUGCUUCGUGGGAGAUCUCCCCCGACCUAAAUGAUGAAUCUAAACCAUACAAUCUAUGUCAGUUUGAUCCAAUGGACCAUAUUCACUUGAAGGGACUAUAAAACCAGACCCCCUGGCCCCUGGAGGAGAGAGCCUCUCAACCCUAAUUCAUUGUUCUUCAAGGGAGAAGAAGCCUCUGAUCAAGAUUAGAGCCACCACAUCAAUUAGACAUCUAGAUUAGCAUAGCUACAUAGGAUUAGAACUAGAAGGAGUCAAUCUUCGAUUGGUUUCCGGAUCUGUCAAGAGGAUUCUUGGUAAUUCUAUAAUUGUGCUUCUAAUUGCUUUCUAAUUAUCUUUGUUCUUCAAUAUUAUGAAUAUGACUUUGUUCUACUUCAAUAUAUUGCUUAUGACUUUGCUCUACUUGCUUAUAUUCAAGAUUAUAUUGUUCUUAGUUUAUCAUAGUUAUAUACUUGUCUUAGUUAGAUUGGAUCUAUAUACAUGUUUAGGAUCGUAUAGCGUUUAUCCAUCGGAUCCAUGGGUAAAUGAUAGAUAUUAUGUAGGCGUGGUGCUUAUACCGUAUUUAUCUGCGAUUGUACCCAAUAUGCCAGAUCGUGGGGUAGUUCGUGAUAGUGACAGCUUCAUUGAUUCUUAUAUAGUCCCCCUCUCGUGUAUUGGGCUGGCAGAGCAACAUUAUUACAGGGGAGUGAUUGCUAUGUUUCUCAUUUACCUUGCUAAUAUCACUAUGCAUGGGCGUAGUCUUGUCUCGCAAUGAUUGCUAAGUAUGCUUGCACUAACUAUGAUAAUGCUAGACUAUAUAGUUGAGAAUAACUUAGGGAAUAUUCUUGUAGUUCGUUCUAAUACCAUGCUAAUGACUUUCUAGAAUAUCUAAUUGAGGUGCUUAUCAUAUUUAUUAUGUGGCUAGAUUAGAUUAGUUAUCCUUGUCACUAUUAUUAUUUCAUAUAUCCUUUAUGUGACACUUAUCCCUGUAUGCAAGAGUUAGAUAUAAUGUUCUCAAUUAUACAUGCAAUGAUAGAUGCUCAAUCUCAUAUUCUAUUCUGUAAUCAAUAUUGAUGAUUGUUAAUCCCUUCCCAGUGGUAAAAAUAUAAAUAACGAUACCUGGAAUACUUCCCGGUUAAAAUGCUACAUCGGUAUUAAUCUGUGCGCUUGCAGAUCCCAUUCAUUAUUUAUUUAGAAGAGCAAUUGCAUAUUUCAAUACCGCGUCUCUCAUGUCAUGCUGAGGAUGACAACUUGGCUUAAGUGGUGUGAGGGAUAGGUUUGGCAUUUUUGGCACCGUUACUAGAUUUAGAACUUAGUCUACUUUUGGUAAUGAUGUUAAGAAUACCCAACAAAGUUGCCGAUGAGGAUGGUUGCCGAUGGGGGGAUGGCUGAACGUGACCAAGUCCAUAGGUAAUGAUGUGUUUGUGCCGAUGACUACCACAAGGCAGUCUGCCGAUGAUGCGGGGGAAGAGUUUGGAAGUUGCCGAUCGGCUUGAGGAGGUGUUCCAGUUUGUCACGCGGGGAUAGUUUUAUGUUUUCCUUAGUUAUUUAAAUCGUUUUGUAUACGGAUUCUGUUUAAUUUGGAAUUCGAGUUCUAGUCGUGUCUGGUUGUAGCUCUUUGGGUAGGGUAUAAAUGUGAACCCUAGGGCCUUGUAACAAUGAAUCAAUCAAUCAAACAUCAGUUUUUACUCAUAUUCCAGCAUCUACUAUUUCGACGACUUCGUCAUACUUUUUUUCUUUUUAUUACGAGUUCUUAGGAAUUCGUCGACUUAAGCUCGGCGUGUUCUCAAGUUCCGCGUGAAUACCUCUUGGCCGUGGCAUCCGGGCGCAUCGCUGUUGUCGGGACCAAAGUAUUCGAGUUACCACCUUUGCCGAUAGUAAGGUUAAAUCGGCUGGCACGCCUUAACGUUUAAAUCGGGUAUUAGCCUUUUGUGUUUGCAGAUCAGCUUUUGCAUCAACACAUCUUUUGGCACGCCCGGUGGGACAGAUCCAAGAUCAAGAUCAACAUGUCGACUUCUGAGUUUGAUCAGGAGAACGUCAUCCCCGUGACGGAAGCCAAUCUCAAGGAUGAGCAGAAGCAAGCUAUUGCUAAAGCCAUGGAGGAUUACAAGCAGCAAUGCCUGUGUUGACACCGUUUUUGGACACGUGUCUAGGAUGACAGGAUAAGGUGGCAGUACGAUGCGGGUUGCCGAUGGGGAUGGUUGCCGAUGAGGGAGAAGUUGAGUGUGACUAAGUCCACAGGCAGUAGUAUGGUGCCGAUGACCAGGUAAAAGGGUCUGCCGAUGACCAUGGCGAGGGGAUUGCCGAUGACGCGAAGGAGGAGUCCGGAAGCUGCCAGUUGUCAUGUGGAGGAGUUUCAGUUUGUUACGAAGGGUAGUUUUAUUGUUUCCUUAGUUAUUUGCAUCGUUUUGUAUAUGGAUUCCGUGUAAUUUGGAAUUCGAAUUCUAAUCGUGUCUGGUCGUAGCUCUUUGAGCAGGGUAUAAAUAUAAACCCUAGGACCUUGUAAUCUAUCUAUCAAUCAAUCAAACAUACGUUUUUACUCAUAUUCCAGCAUCUACUUUUCGACGACUUCGUCAUACUUUUUUCUUUUUAUUACGAGUUCUUAGGAAUUUGUCGACUUAAGCUCGACGUGUUCUUGAGUUCCGCGUGAGUACCUCUUAGCCGUGACAUCCGGGCGCAUCGCUGUUGUCAGGACUAAAGUAUUCGAGUUAUCACCUUUGCCGAUAGUAAGGUCAAAUCGGCUGGCACGCCUUAACGUUUGAAUCGGGUAUUAGCCCUUUGUGUUUGCAGAUCCGUUUUGCAUCAACACAUCUUUUGGCACGCCCAGUGGGACCAGAUUCAAGAUCAAGAUCAACAUGUCGAUCUCUGACCUCGAUCAAGACAACGUCAUCCCCGUGACGGAAGCCAACCUCAAGGAUGAGCAGAAGCAAGCUAUUGCCCAAGCCAUGGAAGAGUUCAAGCAGCAAUGCCUGAAGUCUUUCAGCAUAAACAGGAGCGGCGAAGUGGUCCAGAAAGAUGCACUGCCGGCACCACGGCAGGUCACCUUCGACGCCAAUCCUGGCAAGCUUCAAGAUAUGGUUGACAAUGCCAUCAAUCGAGCGUUGAUUAACCAAGCUGGUGUACUGUCUAAUACGGUUUUCAACGCCGUGGCAAGAACCUUCAAGGAAGGACAAAUCCCGCCGAAUUAUGUGGGUCCUUCCCAUCAUCAACCCACGGCACCAGAAGUCACGGCUCCAUCGGCUGCCUUGACGGGUGCAAGUGCACAGUCUGUCGUCCCUCCAAGUACAUUGGGAACUACUGGUGCACCAUCUAUGCCGAUGGCAACUAACCCACAAAUUUCAGUUGGGCAGCAUAAACUGACAACAGAUAUGUUGGCAUCGGCAAUGUCAGGGUUGACUCUCCCUCCCAACUGGUGGGGUUAUGGUAUGCCUCCAGAGUUGACGCCGGGAACAUCGCAAAUAACUGACGUGAGGGGCAAAACUCCUAUGACAUCGGUACCUCCCAAUGUGCCGAUGAAUCAGAGUCCUCGGUAUACCACAACUACUACUGCAAGGCCUCACACUGGGAAUCCUCAAGAUUCAAUGUUUCAGAUGCCUAACACAUCAGCAGAGUUAAUGCUGACGCAACAGAGGCCUAUGGCCCAGUCGGGGUAUGUCAGUUCAACGACGGUACCCAAUUACCAAUCAUCGGCAGCACCUAUGCCGAUGAACGCUAACAAUGGAUGGCUUGGACAGCAAGCCUUUCCACAAUCGCCCCAGCAGGGUUAUCAGACUACAGGGUUCCAGCAAGGGCAGGUCUAUCCCGGGUUCCAAGGUCAGGGAAUUCCCAACCAGCCAAUAAAUUUUGGACAGCCAAUCGGUGGACAGCAGUUUGGUAGUCCGCAGAUUGGAGGACAGGUGACCAAUACGAUGUUCCAUACAGGUCACGUCCCAAACAGACACGUGGAGGCUCGCCACCAAAUGCCAGAUCCGCAGCCGCCUCAUCGGCAAGACGCCGAUGCGUAUUGGGCCGAUAAGAUUGCUGAAGUAAUGAGGGAACAAUUUGGGAUAAAACCCAAAGUCAACACCUAUUCUUAUCGGACACCGUAUCCUCCAGCGUAUGAUUUGAUCCCGCUUCCACAUCGGUACAAGGUACCGGACUUUACAAAGUUUUCCGGACAAGACGACACGUCAACCAUGGAACAUGUCAACAGGUUCAUUAUUCAAUGUGGAGAGGCUGGUAACAGGGACGAAUUAAGGGUUCGUCUAUUUUCGUCAUCACUGUCUGGAUCGGCCUUUACUUGGUUCAUAUCAUUACCUCCCAACUCAGUAAUUACUUGGGCCGAUCUAGAGAAGCAAUUCCACAGAUACUUCUUCUCGGGGGUUCAUGAGAAGAAAAUUACCGACUUGGUCAAGUUGAGACAACGUAAUGAUGAGUCGGUUGAGGGAUUCGUGCAGAGGAUACGAGAAGUCAAGAAUAAAUGCUAUAGCCUGGUUCUGGAUGAUCGGCAGCUAGCCGAUUUGGCUUUCCAGGGUUUGUUGCCACAUAUCAGGGAUAAGUAUGCAUCUCAGGAGUUCGAAAGUUUAAGUCAUUUGGUGCAGAGGAUAUCUGAUCAAGACAUCAAGCCUUUCAAGCCUAAGAGGGCAUGGAAUAAGAAAGUGUCAUUUGUUGACGAAGCAACAAGCUCAGAUUCCGACGAGGAACCAGUAAUCGGUUUGGCAGAGUGGGUAAAAAACAAGAAACCAAUGUCUUGUCCUUUUGGGCAAAAGGAACCAGAGAAGUUCGCCUUUGACACCGCCAAGGCCGAUAGGAUAUUUGACUUUCUACUUCAGGAAGGUCAAAUCAAACUGUCACCUAACCAUGUGAUCCCAUCGGUAGAAGAGUUGAAGAGGAUGAGAUAUUGCAAGUGGCAUAAUGCAACUUCCCAUGACACCAACGAGUGCAAAGUAUUCAGACAGCAGCUGCAAUCGGCUAUAGAGUCAGGGAGAAUCAAGUUUGACAGUUCCAAAGCCCAGAAGCCGAUGAAGAUAGACCAACAUCCUUUCCCGACAAACAUGUUGGAUGCUAAGGGGAAGGCUAAGGUCCUAACAUCGGAGACAGCUGAGAAGAGUGCAUCGGUAGAUCCUCAGCAUCAAGUUACUACUGCCGAUGCAAGAAGUAAGGGCUUGGUCCAGGAAGGAACUAGCUCAGGAAGGCCUCCUCGAUCUGGUAUCGUCAUAACUCAUAGAAGGCCUCGAGAAACAUGGCAACAACGGGAAGAUCGGUAUCGGCGCCAGCAGGAAGAUUAUCGACGGGAAGAAGAAAGGCGCCGACAGGAGUGGAAUCGGCACAGGGAUCAUUGGAAUUGUCCAUUCUUCAUUCAUUGUUGGGAGGAAAAUAUCAAGCUUCCUACUGUCAGAGACUGCCCUGAGUGCAACGGUUAUGAUCGGUACGAUAGAACCGAUCGGCGUUAUCAUGAUGAUGAAAGGCGAUUUAAUGGGCCGAUCAGAGGAAGGGUGUCAGUUCAUGACCGGCUGGGGGGCAGAUUUAGAGGGCACAACAGACUUAGUGACCGUGUCCAGUAUUUUCCCAGGAACCGAGAAGAGCUCGAGGAAAUGGCUGAUGCGCGGGUUCCCGAUGAAUUCAUAUUUUGCAGGGAUGCUAACAUGCAUCGGGUGGAGCCAAGGGAGAACCGACGCCCGACGGAAAGGCAAAGGCCACUUCCUCCAUGGUGCCCUGGAGGAUUAACUAAGACACAGAAAAGGAGAUUGCAACGUGAGAGGCAAGAAGAGCUAAACAAGGGAGAGAACUCUGGAAGUCGGCAGCCGUCAGGCAAUAAGAGGGAAGGUCCAUCGGCAGAUGUCAACAUGGUUUUCAUGUUGCCGAUGGAGUUUCUUGCACCAUCCAGCGACGAUGAGUUGGAAUUUUCUAAUCAGAUAGCUCAGUUGGCUCUGGAUCCGAUGACGGCUAUCUUUGAGAAACCUGCCGAUGACGAGAGGCAGCAUCUCAAAGCUUUGUUCCUCAAAGGGAGGGUUGAUGGGCAGCCAAUGACCAAGAUCCUAGUUGAUGGUGGAGCUGCUAUUAAUAUUAUGCCGUAUGCAGUAUAUCGGAAGCUUGGGAAAGGGGAUCAAGAUUUGACCAAGACCGAUAUGAUGCUCAAAGACUUUGAAGGAAACGUGUCUCCAGUCAAGGGGGCGAUAUGCGCAGAGUUGACCAUCGGCAGCAAAACCUUGCCGACAACUUUUUUCGUGAUCAGCGGAAAAGGUGCUUACAACUUGUUAUUGGGACGAGAUUGGAUUCAUGCCAAUUGUUGCAUCCCAUCUACAAUGCAUCAGUGCUUGGUUCAGUGGGUAGGUGACAAGAUUGAGAUUGUCCCAGGAGAUUCUUCUUAUGUUAUCGCAUCGGCAGAGGCGGAUACUUACGAAAGGACUAGGUGCAUUUCAGGAGAAGUUUGGGAGAAGGACUUUCUCAAAGUUGCCGAUUAUGAGAUUCCACCGAUCCAAGCAGUCGGUUCUGACGACGGUUUUUAAUGGAUAGAUUCGCCGAUGAUGGAAAAUUAGGCCAGGGAUUCACAUCGGCCGAUGAUUUGGUAGAGGUAGAUAUAGGUGGUGGUGAUAAGCCUAGGCCUACUUUUAUUAGUGCUAAAUUAGAUCCUGAGUGUAAACGGCAGUUAACUAGUUUGUUAAAGGAAUAUAAAGAUUGCUUUGCUUGGGAUUAUACGGAGAUGCCUGGUUUAGACCGAUCAAUUGUUGAACAUCGGUUACCCAUCAAGUCUGGAUUUCGGCCACAUCAGCAACCAGCCCGUCGAUGUAAUCCUAACAUUCUACCUGAUAUUAAGGCCGAAGUCACUAAACUUAUUGAAGCUAAGUUUAUUCGGCAGUGUCGGUAUGCCGAAUGGAUUUCCAAUGUUGUUCCGGUUUACAAGAAGAAUGGGAAGCUUCGGGUGUGCAUUGACUUCAGGAAUCUCAAUAAAGCUACGCCGAUGGAUGGAUACCCAAUGCCUGUCGCCGAUCUACUGGUUGAUGCUGCGGCUGGCCAUCGGGUCAUCAGCUUCAUGGAUGGUAAUGCAGGUUACAAUCAAAUAUUCAUGGCAGAGGAGGAUAUUCCAAAAACCGCAUUCAGGUGUCCUGGUCAUGUUGGACUAUUUGAAUGGAUAGUCAUGACUUUUGGGUUAAAGAAUGCUGGGGCUACUUAUCAAAGGGCUAUGAAUUUUAUAUUUCAUGAGUUCAUCGGCAAGCUCGUAGAGAUUUAUAUUGAUGAUGUGGUGGUUAAGUCUGGAGAUUUCUCAAAGCAUCUUGCCGAUUUACAAAAAGUGUUAGAGUGCACAAGGAAGCAUGGAUUGAAGAUGAAUCCCAACAAGUGUGCAUUUGGUGUAUCGGCAGGGCAGUUUCUUGGUUUCAUGGUACAUCAGAGGGGUAUUGAAAUUAGUCGAAGAUCUAUUGAUGCCAUCAAUAAAAUAGUGGCCCCUACCAACAAAACCGAGCUCCAAUCCUUGAUCGGCAAGGUAAAUUUUAUCAGGAGAUUUAUAUCGAAUUUGUCUGGUAGGAUUCGUGCUUUCAGUCCUCUUCUUAAAUUGAAAGCCGAUCAAGAGUUUAUUUGGGGAGAAGAACAGCAGUUGGCUCUGGAUGAAAUCAAGAAGUAUUUAGUAAAUCCUCCAGUUCUAGUUCCACCUCAACAAGGGAAGCCCUUCAGAUUGUAUUUAUCUACCGAUGGAUCGGUUAUCGGUUCAGCUUUAGUUCAAGAAUUUGAAGGGAAAGAAAGGGUAAUUUAUUAUUUGAGUAGGAGGUUGAUCGAUGCUGAAACCAGAUAUUCGGCCAUUGAGAAACUAUGCUUGUGCUUAUAUUUUUCAUGCAUCAAGCUGAGACAUUACCUGUUAUCGGCCGAAUGUAUUGUUGUCUGUAAAGAUGACGUAGUCCGGUACAUGCUAUCUAUGCCGAUUAUGAGUGGUAGGAUCGGUAAAUGGAUUUUAGCGCUGUCGGAGUUCGAUUUGCGUUACGAAUCGGCUAAGGCAGUCAAAGGGCAGAUCAUGGCCGAUUUUGUGACUCGGCAUUGCGGUCUAGUGGAAACCUUGGAAAUUGCACCCUGGACACUCUUCUUUGAUGGAUCUACCUGUGACCGGGGGGCAGGAAUCGGCAUUGUAUUGGUUUCUCCUAAGGGGAGGAAGUAUGAAUUUUCCUUGCCGAUUGUUGCUACAUCAACAAAUAAUCAGGCUGAGUAUCAAGCUCUGAUCAAGGGAUUGGAGUUGUUAAGAGAGGUUCGUGCUGAUGCUGUUGAGAUAUUCGGGGAUUCCAUGUUGGUUAUAAAUCAAUUGGCCGGAAGCUAUGAAUGCCGGAGUGAAGUUCUCAUAACUUAUUUCGAGAGAAGUAUGCAACUGUUAAAGGAAUUCAAGAACUUCCGAUUGGAGCAUGUUCCCCGAUUGCAUAAUGAAGACGCUAAUCGGUUAGCCCAGCAUGCCUCAGGAUAUCAGCCAAUGAUUAAUGCGACAUCAGCAGUCAGUGCCGGUGAUUGGAGGAAAGAAAUUAUUGACUAUCUAGAAGAUCCGUCCAAAAAGGUUGAGAGACGGGUUCGAUUUCAAGCAACUAAGUAUGUGCUCCUCGAAGAUGAAUUGUAUUAUCGAACUAUUGAUGGAAUUCUUCUCCGAUGUUUGGGUGAUGAUGAAGCUAGGAGUUUGAUGGGAGAAAUCCAUGAAGGGGUGUGUGGAGCACAUCAGUCGGCUUUCAAAAUGAAAUGGAUGAUUAGAAGGAAUGGAUAUUUUUGGCCAACUAUACUUGAGGAUUGCUUUAAGUAUUUCAAGGGAUGCCAAGGUUGUCAAAAGUUUGGUAACAUUCAAAGAGCGCCCGCAUCGGCUAUGAAUCCUAUUAUCAAGCCUUGGCCGUUUCGGGGUUGGGCUGUUGAUCUGAUCGGCCAGAUUUAUCCACCAUCUAGCAAAGGGCAUAAGUUCAUUCUAGUUGCCACUGACUAUUUCACUAAGUGGGUUGAAGCUAUUCCUUUGAAGAAAGUCACAUCGGCCAAUAUGAUUGAUUUUGUGAAGGAGCAUAUUAUUUACCGAUUUGGAAUUCCCCAAACGAUUACUACCGAUCAGGGCACCAUGUUCACGUCGGGGGAGUUCGAUGAGUUCGCAAUCGGUAUGGGAAUUAAAGUAUUGAAUUCUUCUCCUUACUAUGCUCAAGCCAAUGGGCAGGCCGAAGCGUCUAACAAAGGGAUUAUCAAGCUUAUUAAACGAAGGAUUGAAGAAAAUCCUAGGCGGUGGCAUGCAUUGUUAAAUGAAGCAUUGUGGUCUUAUCGGAUGGCUUGUCAUGGAUCAACCAAGGUGUCACCCUAUCAAUUGGUGUAUGGACAUGAUGAAGUUUUGCCUUGGGAGAUUAAGGCUGGAUCUAGGCGAUUAUAUUUUCAAGAUCAAUUGGCUGCCGAUGAUUAUGCCACUUUGAUGACCGAUGAGUUAGAUGAUUUAGCAGGGCAUCGGUUAAAAGCUUUAAUGAGUAUAGAAGAAAAUAAGAAGAGAGUUGCUAGAUGGUAUGAUAAAAAAGUAAAGGCUAAGGAGUUUGCCGAUGGGGAUUUGGUAUGGAAAUUGGUCUUGCCAGUUGGGACUAAGAGUUCGAAGUUUGGAAAGUGGUCUCCUAAUUGGGAAGGUCCUUAUCGGAUAAGACACUCAGCUCCUGGUAAUGCCUAUAUUCUAGAAACUCUCGAAAGAGUUGAAUUCCCCAGAGCAUUAAAUGGCAAAUAUUUAAAGAAGUACUUCCCCAGCAUAUGGGUCGAUGCGUAAAAGUUUAAGUGCCGAUAACACUCCUAUCGGCUGGAGUUAAAUGUUUGGAGACAGACUUAAUGUUUCAAAAGAUGCCGAUAACAGUCUUAUCGGCUAGACUAAAAGCUAAAAGCGGGAAAACAAAGGUGUGUUGCCGAUGAAAGCUUCAGAUGUUCAGCAGCUCUUGGAUUGUCGAUAUGGCGCGCAGCCGGAUCUGAUUGGCUGUCUCUAUCUCCUUGAUAUCAUCAUCGGCAGAACCUUCUAUCGGCUUCAGCUUCCUCUUCAACUGCAGCGCUUUGCGACCAUGGACGUUUCGUUCUCGUUCAAGGUGCUUGAUGGUCUCCGGCAGUUGACUCUCUUCUUGCUGGGCUUGGGACAGAGCAUCCUCUACUUGCUUGAGUUCGGCCAGUAGAGCUUCUCUUUUUGCCGAUAGAUCAGAUACUUUCUGCUUCAGAACAUCACCUGAGGACUUUAAGGUGCCGAUGUUCUUAUGUUUCUCAUCGGCUAAGAGUUUUUCUUUCAUCAUCUCCUCAGAAAGCUGGAUUUGAGCUGCUCUAUCGGCAAGGCGUCGAGUGGCUCUCUGGUACUGUAGCUGGCGGCUUUCUAGGUGUGCAGCAUGGAAGAGGGUUUCUUCAGCAUCGGCAGGAACUUGGCCUCUAAGGGUUUUGAACAGGGCCUUGGCUGGGUCAGAAUCGUUGACCAGUUGAGAUGUGUCUUGAUGAAGUAUGGCCGAUAGCUCCUCCAGCUUAGCCCUGGUUUCUGCCGAUACAGUCCCAAUUGCCCGAGAGGAGCUUGCUUCCUCACCCUCUUCUUCGAGAAUAUCAAUGGCGAAGGAGAAUAAGCUAUCGGGAGAAUCUUGUUCCUGAAAAUGAGAAUGAAAUAAGUCAUUUUUAUGGUCAAAGCUUCGGCAGACAAUGUUGAUGAAAAAAUUGGAUGACUUACUUGCUUCAAGGCGAUCUCUUGUCUUUGACUGAAAAGUGCUGAUGGAGCUGCAGGCUGAUCGGCCAAAGAUGCCGAUGGAGCUACAGAUUGAUCGACCGAGAUUGCCGAUGGAACGAUAUCGACUGAAAAAAGACAAAAGGAGUUAUAAGGCUAAAUAAGAAUAAGUUCAUCGGUAGCGAUAUUGUUAAAGUAUGUUACCUGAAGGAGGGACAACGGUUGUCUGAAUCGGGAGAACUGCCGAUGGUAUAACUGGAUCCACCGGGCCAGUUGUUUGUUCCCCUAUGCUAGCUGAUGUAUCUUCUGUCUGAGACCCUGUCUGCUGGGGUUCUUCUAUCUGUGGUGCUUCCUGCAUAGGUGGGGGAGAUGGUGCUUGCUGUGGCUGGGCUUCUGGAGAAGAAGGAGAAGACUCCACCGGAAUUGGAGAUACCGGAGGAGGAGGGGGAGUUGCUACCUUCUGGCGCUUUGUUCCAGUCUUAGCGCCCGUGGUGCCCUUUCUCUUUGGUUGGCUAGACUGGGGGGCAUCGGUGCUCUCAUGCCUGGAUUUCGCCGAUAUGCCGGUUUGCUGCAAUAAUAAACAAGAGUUUAUAAGCGUAAAUGUAGCCAAUAUAAAGAUAGUCGGCAUAAAGGAAAAGAUUUGACAAAUUGCCUUGAAAGCCCGCGCCAGGGUGGGAGCAGCUACCGUUGGUGAUGUCUGAGCUCUUCUGGUAGUGACUUUCCUGAGGCAUACGCCCCGAUGCACGAUGGAAGCUAGAGUGGGAGCGUUGUGGCCGAUUGAGGAAAUCGGGCCUGAUGGAAACAAGUCAAUCGGCCUGCCACUCUUGCUAACCAAUGGAGGAAUACUGUCAACCUGCAAAAGGAAUACAAGGGUAAGCUGCCGAUAGAAGUGACAUUGAGAAAAUGAAACAUCGGUUUGAGUUACUUACAGUGUCAUCGGGAACUUCGUAUUCGGUGUCAAUCAUGCCGCGGUAUGAAAGCGCCGAUCUGCAGAAUAGAUGCUCUUUCCAUUCUGCCCACCACGGCUUGUAUGCCUGAGUGAUAAAAGCAGCCGGAACCCAUUCUGACAGAUCUACAUCCGUAUCGGCAUUUGGUGGUAAUUGGGCUACUCGAGUCCACUCAAGAAGGUUGUUGAUAGUUUCUCUGGGUUUUAUCACAUCGGCAUAAGGAAGUGCAAUCGGCAACUGGCCGAAAGCUAAUUGGCGAGCUAAUGCCGAUGGAUUAUAAAAUUCGUAGGUUUGGGGAGAAGUUUUUGUGCUACCAAAGAAAUUCACCGGAAUGGCCCUGGGAGUCACAAUUGCCAUCAUCGCCUCAUUGUCCCUGUCGAGAGCUUCAUCAAAUGGAUUGAAGGUCAGAGGGAGCAUGCUAUCUGGGUCAUCAUAAGCCAACCAUGGUCGUUCAUCUCUGGCCAAACCCUCAUACAGCGUCUCGAAGAAUCGGCCGAUCUGAUCCGGAGUGUUCCCUGAACCGGGUAAGACUAUAACAGCUUCGCCAAAGUUCAGGGGGGCACGUGUUGCCGAUUCCUCUUCACCCAACACGUAGUUCUCGGCUAUAUCUCUUGGGAAGUGCUGUGAGAACAAGUUGAGAUCAAGGCGCUUGUGCAGGUGCAGAUUGAGCCACAUAUUAAUAAACCACCAAGGACCUCCCAAGUUGCCGAUAGGUUGGCCGAGCAGGAGUUUCUGGACUACCUGAUGAAGAAGGUGAUAAACAGCGCCGAGCAAAUAACGGCCGAGAGGAAAUUGACCACCGCUAGCCAGUCUUUCUGCUGCCGAUAGAUAGACAGAAGUCGGUCCUGCCGAUCGACCACAGAAUACAAACUUGUCUAGCCACAUGUUCAGAAAGGUGGUUUGCUCCUUUAUGGUGACAGGUCCUCUCCCGCGGUACUUCUGGAUGUACCCUGACCAACCGCCGAUAGCGCGAGUCUCCACUUUGGCACUGGGGGCGGUAUCAAAAAAGUGGGUGCUAUCGGCAGAAGAUAUAUCUAACCCAGUAAGCAUGGCUACAUCGGCAAGGGUAGGAGAAGCAGGGCCGUGGCCAAAAACAAAAGCGUUGAGAGUGUCUGACCAAAAGUAAGAUGCAGCUAUCAGCAAUGACUCGUUCCUGUGCAUAUCGGCAAUGGACAGCCUAAUGCAUUGGGCUAAUUUCCUCUCACCCCAUUGAACUUCAUAAGAGUUGCUGACCCUCAAGAACCAGUCUUUCCACCCUACAGUAGGGCUGGGCCAAGAGCGAAAGGUGUCCUUCCAUAGAUCUAAAGCAAAGUUUUCAGCUCUAAAGGGAAUCCUGUUGGUUUCUGCAUUGAUAAGGUCGGUUGGAUCUGGAUCCCCUAGAGGGCCGAGGCAUUGAAGAUGUGGUUGAUCGGUAGGAAUGACAAUUUUGUUGGAUAACUCCUAGUGUUUUGGGGAAUAAAGAUACAAAGAAAAAGGAAAAGGGAAAUAUUCGGUAAGAUGAAUCGCAGAUGAACAGGAAUGCAAGAAAAGGGUACAGCAGAUGAGAUGGAAAUCUGACCUCAGGGACGACGAAGCCAACGGCCAUCUUGUCGUGAAGAGGACGCUGGAGGGCGCCGGAGUUGAUGAAGAGGAAUGCUUGUCGGAGAUUUUGAGGGUUGUGAAUGGCGCCGCCGCUGGAAAAGCGAAGUUGGAUGGCAGAAUGGUGUAAUGGGGGAGGAGUACCCAAGAAGGAACUAUUUAUAGGACAAAAUGGGCAAGGGCAAAUCUGACUUAUUUCUUUGCCACAUCCGAGAAACCCGAGGGUACUCAAGUGGAUAUGGUAACUGUUCGCGCGGUAAUCCAGGGAUUGUGCAGGUGAUUUGACAGGAAGCGGUCAUUAUCUAAAGAUAUUUUACUGUACGCGAUCUCCUGGUCGGUCCAUCGGCGAUAUUCUAUAACGGUCAUCCUGCCGAUGGGCGGAUAGAGGGGAGGUAACCGUUUUUGCGAAUCUCCUGGGCAGAGCAUCGGCAGAUAUUUGUAACGGUAUUGUUGCCGAUAUACGAAUAAGAAAGAUGCCCGUUUAGGAAGUUGGGGAUUUCGAGGAAUCUGCGGAGGAUUAGGAUCAGAGUUGUCCAGAUUGAGGUUGUCGGUUACCAGAUUAGGAGCAUUAAUUGCGGAGAAGGCAUCAUUACUGCAGAGAAUUUCGGAGCAUUAAUAGUUUUAUACUCCGAAACUGGGGGGCAUGUGUUGACACCGUUUUUGGACACGUGUCUAGGAUGACAGGAUAAGGUGGCAGUACGAUGCGGGUUGCCGAUGGGGAUGGUUGCCGAUGAGGGAGAAGUUGAGUGUGACUAAGUCCACAGGCAGUAGUAUGGUGCCGAUGACCAGGUAAAAGGGUCUGCCGAUGACCAUGGCGAGGGGAUUGCCGAUGACGCGAAGGAGGAGUCCGGAAGCUGCCAGUUGUCAUGUGGAGGAGUUUCAGUUUGUUACGAAGGGUAGUUUUAUUGUUUCCUUAGUUAUUUGCAUCAUUUUGUAUAUGGAUUCCGUGUAAUUUGGAAUUCGAAUUCUAAUCGUGUCUGGUCGUAGCUCUUUGAGCAGGGUAUAAAUAUAAACCCUAGGACCUUGUAAUCUAUCUAUCAAUCAAUCAAACAUACGUUUUUACUCAUAUUCCAGCAUCUACUUUUCGACGACUUCGUCAUACUUUUUUCUUUUUAUUACGAGUUCUUAGGAAUUUGUCGACUUAAGCUCGACGUGUUCUUGAGUUCCGCGUGAGUACCUCUUAGCCGUGACAUCCGGGCGCAUCGCUGUUGUCAGGACUAAAGUAUUCGAGUUAUCACCUUUGCCGAUAGUAAGGUCAAAUCGGCUGGCACGCCUUAACGUUUGAAUCGGGUAUUAGCCCUUUGUGUUUGCAGAUCCGUUUUGCAUCAACAGCCUGAGGUCCUUCAGCAUGAACAGGAGCGGUGAGGUGAUCCAGAAGGAUGCACUGCCGGCACCUCGGCAGGUUACUUUUGAAGCCAAUCCUGGUAAACUUCAAGAGAUGGUUGAUAGUGCUAUCAACCGUGCUUUGAUCAACCAAGCUGGUGUGCUGUCCAAUACGGUUUUCAACGCCGUGGCUAGAACUUUCAAGGAAGGACAAUUACCACCAGAUUAUGUGGGCCCCUCUCAUCAUCAGCAAGGAUCACCGGUGGUCACAGCUCCAUCGGUUGCUACGGCCGCUGCGGGCAUGGAGAUUCCCGUUCCUCCAAGUACGUUGGGAGUUACCAAUGCACAAUCUACACCGAUGACGACGAAUCCGCCGACUUCAGAAUAGAUUAAGCUUACUACAGAUUUAUUGGCAUCGGCAAUGUCAGGACCAGUUCCUCCUCCUAACUGGUGGGGUUUUGGUAUGCCUCCGAAAUACUUCAAGGCACCCGGUACAUCUCAAGCAACUGAUAUGAGAGGCAAGGCUCCUAUGGCAUCGGCACCUCCCAAUAUGCCGAUGAACCAGAGUCCCCAGUAUACUACAACUACUACUGCAAGACCUUACAAUGGGAAUUCUCAAGCUCCAACGUUCCAGAUGCCUAACGCAUCGGCAGACUCGAUGCUGAUGCAACAGAGGUUUAUGACUCAACCUGGGUAUGUUAAUUCGAUGAUAAUUCCCAAUUACCAGUCAUUGGCAGGACCUAUGCCGAUGAAUGCUAAUAAUGGAUGGCUUGGGCAGCAAGUCUUUCCGCAAACACCCCAACAGAGUCAUCAGGUUACAGGGUUCCAGCAAGGCCAGAUCUAUCCCGGGUUCCAGAAUCAGGGGAUUCCCAACCAGCCAAUGAAUCUUGGGCAGCAGGUCGGCGGACAACAGAUUGGCGGGCAACAGAUGGUGGUCCACGGAUUGGGGGCCAGAUGAUUAACCCGAUGUUUCAUGUAGAUCGUGCGCCGCACCGACACAUGAAGCUUACCAGCAGGUGCCGGAUCCGCAACCACCUCAUCAGCAAGAUGCCGAUGCUUAUUGGGCCGAUAAGAUUGCUGAAGUAAUGAGGGAUCAAUUUGGGAUAAAGCCCAAAGUCAACACUUACUCUUAUCGGACACCGUAUCCUCCUGCAUAUGAUUUGAUCCCGAUUCCAAAUCGAUACAAGGUACCGGAUUUUACUAAGUUUUCUGGGCAGGAUGACACGUCAACCAUGGAGCACGUCAACAGGUUCAUCAUCCAGUGCGGGGAAGCUGCUAACAGGGACGAGUUAAGGGUUCGCUUAUUCUCGUCAUCAUUGUCUGGAUCGGCUUUCAACUGGUUUAUAUCAUUACGUCCCAACUCAGUGAUUACUUGGGCUGAUCUGGAGAAACAAUUCCACAAAUAAUUCUUUUCUGGGGUCCAUGAGAAGAAGAUCACCGAUUUGGUCAAAUUGAGGCAACGCAAUGAUGAAUCAGUUGAAGGUUUUGUGCAGAGGAUAUGGGAAGUCAAGAACAAAUGCUAUAGCCUGGUUCUGGAUGAUCGGCAGCUAGCCGAUUUGGCUUUCCAGGGUUUGUUGCCACACAUCAGGGAUAAGUAUGCAUCUCAGGAGUUUGAAAGUUUAAGUCAUUUGGUGCAGAGGAUUUCUGAUCAAGAUAUCAAGCCAUUUGAACCCAAGAGAGCAUGGAACAAGAAGGUGUCCUUUGUUGAUGAAGCAGCAAGCUCAGAUUCUGAUGAGGAACCGGUCAUCGGCUUAGCAGAAUGGGUAAAAAACAAGAAGCCGAUGUAUUGUCCUUUUGGACACAAGGAACCAGAGAAGUUCGCGUUUGAUAUCACUAAGGCCGAUCGGAUAUUUGACUUUUUACUUCAGGAAGGUCAAAUAAAAUUAUCACCUAAGCAUGUGAUCCCAUCGGCUGAGGAGUUAAAGAAGAUGAAGUAUUGUAAAUGGCACAAUGCAACUUCUCACAGCACCAAUGAGUGCAAAGUGUUUAGGCAACAGCUGCAAUCGGCUAUAGAGUCAGGGAGGAUCAAAUUUGACAGCUCCAAAGCUCAGAAGCCGAUGAAGAUUGAUCAACAUCCUUUCCCAACAAACUUGCUGGAUGCUAAGGGGAAGGCCAAGGUCUUGACAUCGGAAGAAGCUGAAAGAAGUGCAUCGGUGGAUCCUCAGCAUCAAAUCACUACCGCCGAUGCGAAAGGAAAAGGCCUAGUCCAAGAGGGAGCUAACUCAGGGAGGCCUCCCCGAUCUGGUAUCAUCAUAACCCACAGAAGGCCUCGGGAGACUUGGCAGCAACGUGAAGAUCGGUAUCGGCACCAGCGAGAGGACUAUCAUCGGGAAGAAGAAAGACGCCGUCAGGUGUGGAAUCGGCAUAGGGAUCACUUGAAUUGCCCUUUCUUCAUUCAUUGCUGGGAGGAGAAUAUCAAACUUCCCACUAUCAGAGAUUGUCCUGAGUGCAACGGUUAUGACCGGUAUGACAGGUCUGAUCGGCGCUAUCAUGAUAAUGAUCGACGAUUUAAUGGGCCGAUUAGAGGGAGAGCACCCGUUCGUGAUCGGCAGGGGGGCAGGCUCAGCGUGCACGAUAGGCUUGGAGAUCGUGUUGAGUAUUUCCCCAGGAGCCAGGAAGAACUUGAAGAGGCAGCAGCAAUUUCCUCCAUGGUGUCCAGAGGGGUUGACCAGGACACAGAAAAGAAGGCUGCAGUGCGAAAGGCGAGAAGAGUUAAGCAAGGGGGAGAACUCUAGACAGUCUGGGGAUCAGCAACAACCAGAUCCUAAGGGGAAAGGUCCAUCGGAGAUGUCAACAUGGUUUUUAUAUUGCCGAUGGAGUUCCUUGCGCCAUCCAGUGAUGAUGAGGUAGAAUUCUCCGACCAAAUAGCUCAAUUGGUUCUGGAUCCGAUGACAGCUAUCUUCGAGAAGCCUGCCGAUGAUGAAAGGCAACAUCUUAAGGCUCUGUUUGUCAAGGGAAGGGUUGAUGGUCAGCCGAUGACUAAGAUUUUAAUUGACGGCGGGGCUGCUAUCAACAUCAUGCCAUAUGCAGUGUAUCGGAAGCUUGGAAAAGGAGAUCAGGACCUGACCAAGACCGAUAUGAUGCUCAAAGAUUUUGAGGGCAAUGUAUCCCCAGUUAAAGGAGCUAUCUGCGUAGAAUUAACCAUCGGCAGCAAAACCUUGCCGACGACCUUCUUUGUGAUCAGUGGAAAAGGUGCCUACAAUCUGUUGCUAGGGAGAGAUUGGAUUCAUGCCAAUUGUUGCAUCCCAUCUACAAUGCACUAGUGCUUGGUCCAGUGGGUAGGUGACAAGAUUGAAAUUGUCCCAGGAGACUCUUCAUAUGUUAUUGCAUCGGCGGAAGCAAACACCUAUGAAAGGACUAGGUGUAUUUCAGGAGAAGCUUGGGAAAAGGAUUUCCUCAAAGUUGCUGAUUAUGAAAUUCCACCGAUCCAAGCAGUCGGUUCUGAAGAUGGUUUUUAAUGGAUAGGUUCGCCGAUGAUGGAAAAUUAGGCCAGGGGUUCACAUCGGCCGAUGAUUUGGUAGAAGUAGACAUAGGUAGUGGUGAUAAACCUAGACCUACUUUUAUUAGUGCUAAGUUAAGUCCUGAGUGUAAGCAGCAGUUGACUGAUUUGUUAAAGGAAUAUAAAGAUUGCUUUGCUUGGGAUUAUACUGAGAUGCCUGGUUUGGACCGAUCGAUUGUUGAACAUCGGUUGCCUAUUAAGUCUGGAUUUUAGCCACAUCAGCAGCCAGCUCGCAGAUGUAAUCCUAAUAUUCUUCCUGACAUCAAGGCCGAAAUAACUAAACUUAUUGAAGCCAAAUUUAUUCGGCAGUGUCGGUAUGCCAAGUGGAUUUCCAAUGUUGUUCCGGUUUACAAGAAGAACGGGAAGCUUCGGGUCUGCAUUGAUUUCAGGAAUCUUAACAAAGCUACACCGAUGGAUGGCCACCCGAUGCCAGUUGCCAAUCUGCUAGUUGAUGCUGCGGCUGGGCAUCAGAUCAUUAGCUUUAUGGAUGGCAAUGCAGGAUACAAUCAAAUAUUCAUGGCGGAAGAGGAUAUUCCAAAGACCGCAUUUAGAUGUCCUGGUCAUGUCGGGUUGUUUGAAUGGAUAGUCAUGACCUUUGGCUUAAAGAAUGCUGGCGCUACUUAUCAAAGGGCCAUGAAUUUUAUAUUUCAUGAGUUCAUUGGCAAGCUGGUGGAAAUUUAUAUUGAUGAUGUGGUGGUUAAGUCUGGGGACUUCACAAAGCAUCUUGCCGAUCUACGAAAGGUGUUGGAGUGCACGAGGAAGCAUGGUUUGAAAAUGAAUCCCAAUAAGUGUGCAUUUGGUGUAUCGGCAGGGCAGUUUGUUGGUUUCAUGGUGCAUCAAAGGGCGAUUGAAAUUAGUCGAAGAUCUAUUGAGGCUAUCAAUAAAAUAGUUGCCCCUACUAAUAAGACUGAGCUCCAGUCCUUGAUCGGCAAGGUGAAUUUUAUCAGGAGAUUUAUAUCUAAUUUGUCUGGUAAAAUUCGUGCUUUCAGUCCUCUUCUUAAGCUAAAAGCCGAUCAAGAAUUUGUUUGGGAGAAAGAACAACAGUUGGCUCUGGAUGAAAUUAAGAAUUAUUUAGUGAAUCCUCCAGUUCUAAUUCCACCUCAGCAAGGGAAGCCCUUCAGAUUGUAUUUGUCUGCCGAUGGAAUGGUCAUCGGUUCGGCUUUAAUUCAAGAAUUUGAAGGGAAAGAGCGUGUAAUUUAUUACUUAAGUAGGAGGUUGAUUGAUGCUGAGACCAGGUAUUCAGCUAUUGAGAAACUAUGCUUGUGCCUUUAUUUCUCUUGUAUCAAGUUGAGACAUUACUUGCUGUCGGCCGAAUGCACUGUUAUUUGUAAAGAUGAUGUGGUCCGGUACGUGCUGUCUAUGCCGAUUAUGAGUGGCAGGAUCGGUAAAUGGAUUUUGGCGCUAUCAGAAUUCGAUCUACGUUACGAAUUAGCUAAGGUAGUUAAGGGACAGGUUAUGGCCGAUUUUGUAACCCAACAUUGUGGUGCAGUGGAGGCUUUGGAAAUUGUACCUUGGACGCUUUUGUUUGAUGGAUCCACAUGUGACCUGGGGGCAGGAAUCGGCAUAGUAUUAAUUUCCCCUCAGGGAAGGAGGUAUGAGUUUUCCUUACCGAUUGUUGCCACGUCGACGAAUAAUCAGGCUGAGUAUGAAGCUUUAAUAAAGGGAUUGGAGUUGUUAAGAGAAGUUCAUGUUGAUGCUAUCGAGGUCUUCGGGAAUCCUAUGCUAGUUAUAAAUCAAUUGGGUGGAUGUUAUGAGUGUCAAAGUGAAGUUCUCGUAACUGGAAAGGAGUAUGCAACUAUUAAAGGAAUUCAAGGAUUUCCGAUUAGAGCAUGUUCCUCGAUUGCAUAAUGAAGAGACCAAUCGGCUGGCUCAGCAUGCCUCGUGAUAUCAGCCUAUGAUUAAUGCGAUAUCGGCAAUUAGUGCCGAUGAUUGGAGAAAAGAAAUCAUUGACUAUUUGAAGGAUCCAUCUAAGAAAGUUGAAAGGCGGGUUCGGUUUCAAGCCACCAAGUAUGUGGUCCUCGAAGAUGAAUUGUAUUACCGAACUAUUGAUGGGAUUCUUCUCCGAUGCUUAGAUGGUGAUGAAGCUAGGAGUUUGAUGGGAGAAAUCCAUGAAGGGGUAUGUGGAGCACAUCAGUCGGCUUUCAAGAUGAAGUGGAUGAUUAGGAGGAAUGAAUAUUAUUGGCUUACUAUACUUGAGGAUUGCUUUAAGUAUUUCAAAGGGUGUCAAGGGUGUCAAAAGUUUGGUAAUAUUCAAAGGGCGCCUGCAUCGGCUAUGAAUCCUAUCAUAAAGCCUUGGCCGUUCCGAGGAUGGGCUAUUGAUUUGAUCGGCCAGAUUUAUCCACCAUCUAGCAAAGGGCAUAAGUUUAUUCUAGUUGCCACCGAUUAUUUCACCAAGUGGGUUGAAGCUAUUCCCUUGAAGAAAGUCACAUCGGCCAAUAUGAUUGAUUUUGUGAAAGAGCACAUCAUUUACCGAUUUGGGAUUCCUUAAACAAUUACUACUGAUCAGGGCACUGUGUUCACAUCAGGGGAAUUUGAUGAAUUUGCAAUCGGUAUGGGGAUUAAAGUGUUGAACUCUUCCCCUUACUAUGCUCAAGCUAAUGGGCAGGCCGAGGCAUCUAACAAAGGAAUUAUUAAGCUUAUUAAACGGAAGAUUGAAGAAAAUCCUAGAAGGUGGCACACAUUGUUAAAUAAAGCUUUAUGGUCAUACCGGAUGGCUUGUCAUGGAUCGACCAAGGUUUCACCCUAUCAGUUGGUGUAUGGGCAUGAUGCAGUGUUACCUUGGGAGAUUAAGGCUGGGUCUAGGCGAUUAUCUUUUCAAGAUCAGUUGGCUGCCGAUGAUUAUGCUACUUUGAUGACAGACGAGUUGGAUGAUCUAGCAGGGCAUCGGCUGAGGGCUUUGAUGAGUAUAGAAGAGAAUAAGAAAAGAGUCGCCAGAUGGUAUGAUAAGAAGGUAAAGACUAAGGAGUUUGCCGAUGGAGACUUAGUAUGGAAAUUAAUUUUACCGAUCGGGACUAAAAGUUCAAAGUUUGGGAAGUGGUCUCCCAAUUGGGAAGGUCCCUAUCGGAUAAGUCGAUCGACUCCUGGUAAUGCCUACAUUUUAGAAACUCUCAAAGGAGUUGAAUUUCCCAGAGCAUUAAAUGGCAAAUAUCUAAAGAAGUACUACCCUAGCAUAUGGGUCGAUGCAUAAGAGUUUAAAUGCCGAUAACACUCCUAUCGGCUGGAUUGAAAUAUGUUUGGAGCCGGACUUAAUGUUUCAAAAGAUGCCGAUAACAGUCCUAUCGGCUAGACUAAACAUCAAGGAAGCUGGAAAGUAGGGAGAAGCGGGUAUGUUGCCGAUGAAGAGCUCACAUGUUUAGCAGCGCUUGGAUGGCCGAUAUGGCACGUAGGCGAAUUUGGUUGGCUGCUUCUAUCUCUUUGACGUCUUCAUCGGCAGAACCUUCUAUCGGCUUCAGCUUCUUCUUCAACUGCAGUGCUUUGUGACCAUGGGCAUUUCGCUCUUGCUCAAGGAGCUUGAUGGUCUCUAGCAGUUGACUCUCUUCCUGUUGGGCUUGGGAUAGGGCGUCCUCCACUUGCUUGAGUUCUGCCAACAGGGCUUCUCUUUUUGCCGAUAGAUCAGAGAUCUUCUGCUUCAGUGCGUCUCCUGAGGACUUCAAGGUGCCGAUGUCCUUGUGCUUCUCAUCGGUCAGGAGCUUUUCUUUCAUCAUCUCUUCAGAAAGCUGGGUCUGAGCGGCUCUAUCGGCAAGGCGCCAGGCAGCCCUCUGGUAUUGCAGUUGACGACUCUCUAGAUGUGCUGCUUGGAAAAGGAUUUCUUCAGCAUCGGUGGGGAUUUGGCCUCUCAGGGUCUUGAAUAAAGCCUUGGCCGGGUCAGAGUCAUCAACUAGUUGGGCUGUGUCUUGAUGAAGGAGGGCCGACAGUUCUUCCAGCCUUGCCCUGAUCUCUGUCGAUGUAACCCCAACAGCUCGAGAGGAGCUUGCUUCCUCACCUUCAUCUUCGGAGACGUCAAUGGCAAAGGAGAAGAGGCUGUCAGGAGAGUCUUGUUCCUGUAAAGGAAAUAAAGUGAGUCAUUCCAUGGUCAUAUAUUGAUAAGUAAUACUGAUGGAAACUGGAUGGCUUACUUGCUUCAAGGCGAUCUCUCGCCUUUGACUGGAAGAUGCCGAUGGAAUCACAGGUUGAUCGGCUGAGACUGCCGGUUGAGCUAUAUCAGCUAAAAAAAUAACAGAGAUAAUUGUAAGACAGAGAGAAUAAGUUCAUCGACAGUAAUCUCAUGAAAUAUAUUACCUUGAGGAAGAGCAAUACUUGUCUGGAUGGAAGAGAUCACCGAUGCUGCUGGGUCGGUAGUUUGUUCAUGCACGUCAGCCGAUGUGUCUUCUGGCUGAAGUACUUCUGGUUGAAAUUCCUCUGGAUGAGGAUCUUCUGCUUGUGGUGCUUCUUGCGGUUGAGGAGGAGAUGGUACUUGCUGAGUCUGUGUUUCUGGAGGAGAAGGAGAAGAUUCCACCGGAAUUGGAGAAACCGGAGGGGAAAGGGGAGUUGCCACUCUCUGGCGCUUUAUUUGUGCUCUGGUACUCCUGGUACCUUUUCUCUUCUGCUGGCUGGACUGGGGGGCAUCAGCACCUUUGCUUUUGGUCCUUGCCGAUGCGCUGGAGUGCUGAUACAGAAAGAAAGACACGUAAGUACAAGUUUGACAAAUAUAAGAAUAAGAUCGGUAUAAAAAUUGAAGGUAUACCCUGAACGCCUGUGCCAAGGUAGAAGUAGCUACCGAUGAGGACAUAUGAGUCCUCUUGGUGGUAACUUUCUUGAGGCGAACACCUCGAUGCAUGAUGGCGGCCAGGGUAGGAGCGUUGUUGCCGAUUGAAGAGAUUGAACCUGAUGGAAACAGGUCAAUCGGCUUGCCGCUCCUGCUAACCGAUGGAGGGGUGUUGUCAACCUACAAGAUGAUACAAAGGUGAAUCACCGAUGGAAAUAAGACUAAGAAAAUCAAAACAUCGGUUUGAAGAUACUUACAGUAUUAUCGGGAACUUCAUACUCGGGGUCGAUCAUGCCGCGGUACGUAAGAGCCGAUCUGCAGAACAGAUGCUCUUUCCAUUCUGCCCACCAUUGCUUGUACGCCUGAGUGAUGAAGGCGGCUGGAACCCACUCUGUCAAGUCUGCAUCUGUAUCGGCACUUGAUGGCAGUUGGGCUACUCGGGUCCAUUCAAGGAGGCUGGUGAUGGUUUCCCUGGGUUUUAUCACAUCGGCAUAAUAGAGUGCAGUCGGUAGCUGGCCGAAAGCUAAUUGACGAGCUAGUACCGAUGGAUUGUAAAACUCAUAGGUCUGGACGGAGGUUUUCCCACUGCCAAAGAAAUUCACUGGUAUAGCUCUAGGAGUGAUCAGUGCCAUCAUCACUUCAUGAUCCUUGUUGAGAGCGUCAUUGAACGGAUUGAAAACCAGAGGAAACAUGGUGUCUGGAUCAUCAUAAGGCAACCAUGCUCGCUGCUCUCUGGUCAAGCCUUCGUACAAGGUUUGGAAGAAUCGGCUGACCUGAUCUGGAUUACCUCCUGUGCCAGGCAGAGCUAUGACAGCCUCACCGAAGUUUAGGGGAGGACGUGUUGCCGAUUCUUCUUCAUCCAGUUCGUAGUCCUUGGCUAUGUCCCUUGGGAAACGCUGUGCAAAAAGAUCGAACUCAAGACGCUUGUGCAUGUGGAGGCUGAGCCACAUGUCGAUGAACCACUAGGGACCUCCCAAGUUACCGAUGGGCUGGCCGAGUAGGAGUUUUCUGGUCACUUGGUGAAGGAGGUGAUAGGCUGCACCGAGCAGGUAUCGGUCGAGGGGAAAUUGGCCACCGUUAGCCAGUCUCUCUGCUGCCGAUAGAUAGACUGAGGUCAGGCCUGCCGAUCGGCCACAGAAUACGAACUUGUCCAGCCACAUGUUUAGAAAGGUGGUUUGUUCCUUUAUAUCGACGGACCCCGUUUUGCGGUACUUCUGAAUGUACCCGGACCAGCCACCGAUGGAGCGGGUUUCUACCUUGGCACUGGGCGUGGUGUCAAAGAAAUGGGUGCUAUCGGCAGAAGAUACAUCUAGGCCAGUGAGCAUAACUACAUCGGCAAGUGUAGGGGAAGCAGGGCCAUGGCCAAAGACAAAGGCAUUGAGCGUGUCCGACCAGAAGUAUGAUGCAGCUAUCAACAGUGAUUCGUUCCUAUGCAUAUCGGCAAUAGACAACCUGAUGCAUUGGUCUAGUUUUCUCUCGCCCCAUUGGACUUCAUUUGAGUGGCUGACCCUCAAGAACCAAUCCUUCCAUCCCACGGUAGGACUGGGCCAGGAACGAAAGGUAUCCUUCCAUAGAUCCAAAGAGAAAUUCUUGGCUCUGAAAGGGAUCUUGUUGGUUUCUGCGUUAAUGAGGUCGGUUGGAUCUGGAUUCCCUAACGGACCAAGACAUUGGAGGUGUGGUUGAUCGGUGGGGAUGACGAUUUUGUUGGACAGAUUCUAAUGGUUUUGAAGGUGAAAGAAAAAACAAAGAAAGAAAAAAAAGAGGAUGUUCAGUAAAAUAGAUUGCGGAUGAAUAGGGAUGCGAAAAAAGCACAAAAGGUGGAGUGAAGAACUGACCUCAGGAACGGUGAAGUUGAUGGCCAUCUCGCCACGAAGAGGAUGAUCGAGGGCUUCGGAGUUGGUGAAGAAGGACUUCGUCGGAGAUCUUGGAGCUCUCGAACAGUGCCGCCGCCGGGAAAGUGGAGUUGGAGCUGUGGAAUGAUGUGAUGGGGAAGAAGUACCCGAGAAGGAACUAUUUAUAGGACAAAACGGGCAAGGACAAAUCUGACUUAUCUCCUCGCCGUAUCCGUGAAAUCUGAGGGUACUCAGGUAGAUAUGGUAACUGUUCGCACGAUGAUCAAGGGAUUGUGCAGGCGAUUUGACAGGAAGCGGUCAUUAUCUAGAGAUAUUUUACUGUGCGAGAUCUCCUGGUCGGUCCAUCGGCAGCGCCUUGUAACGGUCAUAUUGCCGAUGGGCGUGUAAAGUGGAGAUAGCCGUUUGGGAGGAAAAGAUAUGGACGUCCUGAUCAGUCCAUCGGCAAGUCCCUGUAACGGUAAUAUUGCUGAUGCGUGACUAAAAUGGAAAUGUCCGUUUGGGAGGUUGAGGAUUUGGAGGAAUCUGCAGAGGAAUAGGAUCAGAGUUGUUCAGAUUAAGGCUGUCGGUUACUAGAUUGGGAGCAUUAAUUGCAGAAAGGCAUCAUUACCGCAGAGAAUUUCAGAGCAUUAACGAUUUCAUACUCCGAAAUUGGGGGGCAUGUGUUGAUGCCGUUUUUGGGCGCGUAUCCAUGAUUGGUAAAGUGUAGGCCGACACGAUAAGACGGCAGUGCUUGAUCUUCAGGGUAAGUUGCCGAUGAGGAUGGUUGCCGAUGGGGGGAUGGCUGAACGUGACCAAGUCCAUAGGUAAUGAUGUGUUUGUGCCGAUGACUACCACAAGGCAAUCUGCCGAUGAUGCGGGGGAAGAGUUUGGAAGUUGCCGAUCGGCUUGAGGAGGUGUUCCAGUUUGUCACGCGGGGAUAGUUUUAUGUUUUCCUUAGUUAUUUAAAUCGUUUUGUAUACGGAUUCUGUUUAAUUUGGAAUUCGAUUUCUAGUCAUGUCUGGUUGUAGCUCUUUGGGUAGGGUAUAAAUGUGGACCCUAGGGCCUUGUAACAAUGAAUCAAUCAAUCAAACAUCAGUUUUUACUCAUAUUCCAGCAUCUACUAUUUCGACGACUUCGUCAUACUUUUUUCUUUUUAUUACGAGUUCUUAGGAAUUCGUCGACUUAAGCUCGGCGUGUUCUCAAGUUCCGCGUGAAUACCUCUUGGCCGUGGCAUCCGGGCGCAUCGCUGUUGUCGGGACCAAAGUAUUCGAGUUACCACCUUUGCCGAUAGUAAGGUCAAAUCGGCUGGCACGCCUUAACGUUUAAAUCGGGUAUUAGCCUUUUGUGUUUGCAGAUUAGCUUUUGCAUCAACAAAUCGGCUUCGGACUGACUGUGGCGGUGAGUUCACGGAGGUUGAAUUCACCAUGUACUAUGCUGAGGAGGGAGUAGGGCAUCAUCUCAUAGGGCCCUACUCACCGCAGCAGAACGGCGUGGUGGAGCGACGAAAUCAAACCAUCAUCGCCAUGGCGUGAUCCAUGCUGAAUGCGAAGGACAUGCCGGUUGAACUUUGGGGGGGAGGCGGUGGGCACGGUAGUGUUCAUCCUGAACCGUUGCCCCACGAAGGCGUUGAAGGGGCAGACUCCGUACGAAGCUUGGCACGGGCGCGAGCUGAACGUCACGUUCCUACGCAUGUUCGGGUGCGUCGGCCAUGUGAAGACCACCAAGCCGGGCCUCACAAAGCUGGAAGAUAGGAGCACCAAGGUGGUGUUCCUCGGCUACAAGGAGGGAUCUAAGGCUUAUCGGCUCUAUGAUCCGGUCGGCGGUAAGGUGUUGGUGUCACGAGAUGUGGUGUUCGACGAGGCGGCGGCGUGGAAGUGGGACAAGGCAGAGGAGCAAGGAGGCAGUGGGCAUGGCGACACUUUCAUCAUGGAAUGCUUGACGAUCCAUGAUAGGGAAGAGGAGUCUUGAGAGCUAGCAAUCGGGGAAGCCGGUGACAUUACAGCUCCAGAGGUGGUGGAGCCAUCAAGUCAAGCAGUGGCUGGAACGCCAGUUGUGGGGGUAUAAACCCCUAUACCCUUACGACUAGACUUGGGCCAGGAGGCUUGGCCCAUCACAUGACAAAUUCGGGACUUUAUCCAACUGCUCGGAGUUUCGCGCAAGGAAACAAGACGUGGAGAUCAAGUAGGAUUCUAGUCGGUUAGGAUAGAAAUUGAUAUCGUACUAUCUAUGGAAAUUGUAACCGACUAGGAUUGGUUUCCAGAUCUGUAACCCUGCCCUCCGGACUAUAUAAGGAGAGGCAAGGGACCCCCCUAGGACAUCGAAUCUCAACUCGACACAAUCCAUAGCAAUACAAUCAGACGCAGGACGUAGGUAUUACGCCCACACGGCGGCCGAACAUGGAUAAAAACCUUGUCCGUGUCUUGCGUCACCAUCAAGUUCGUUGCUUGCGCACCGUCUACUGAUAAACUACUACCGUGGGUAUACCCCAAGGCGGCGUCAACAAACUCUUUCGACUCUUGCCGGCCAACUCGUGUCACCACACACGAACAGCUGGAGACGUCCCUAACAAUAACAUCGACCCCCAGGGGACGAUCUGUCAAGCUCAAGACAGCUGAAGACCAGAAUUGCCCUUAUGGUCUAAACAAAUCGACCGACCAGUAUUCUCGGCAUACCCAAUUUCUAUUCAGCAGGGCGGGCUUGUCGUCGGGACAGAGCAGCCGGGCAGCUCACCAUUACGUCAACAUGGUAUCCAUCCGAGUCCUGUCGGACGAUAAGGCUACCAGUACGAACUCCAGUACAGGGUCUGUCCCUACCGAGGUUUUACACUCCGAGGACGAAGAUUACGACCUGGAUUUGCCACCAUACCCUCCAGGUUUUUCUCGUUUUCCAGUCUUUCCACCCCAGCGAGGAGAUCUCGUCUUUAACGUCGGCAACGAUGAACCGGUUGUCGACGGCGAAACCGACGAGCAGAAGCAACUCCGCGAGCAGCGCAAUGCCGAUCGUGCUCGGCGGCGCACGGAUGAGGAACGACAACUUGCGCCACACAACCUCAGUGAUGCUUUCGACAUGGUCGGGGAUCAGCCAGUCUACAAGACGCCAAGCGCGAACGUGGCUGUCGCCAUGGCAAAUCUGGACCGACUCCCCGACACCCUGGAGUGCCAGGGCGUCCGGUCCAGUAUACGGGCGCAUCUGAUCGCUGCGAUGGGACAGACAGCCACUUUGCUCAAAAGGGUCCAAGCCGUCCCCUACACGGAGGUUUCCUCUGACCAGACUCAUCGCAGCCGGACUUCACCGUGACCCAGCGGGCGCCAUCAUAGCCGCUCCCUCAACGGUCGCAGAAAGGACGCUGGAUGCGACAACCGUGGUGAGGACAUGGGUGGUUAUCGUGAGCAGAGGCACGGGCGUGGUCAGGAAGUAAACCAGGAUAGGGAUCUACGCUAUAACAUCCCUCCCAAGGAUGCCCGCGACUGCAUCAACAGGCGCGCUACGGAAAGAGCGGUACACGAAAACCUACGACGCAUUGAGUAUGAUGCAGCACACGGCCCCCUGGCCUAAGAUAGUUCUCUUCACACCUUCGCCAGGUCGUAUGGCCCCGCAACUUUAUGCUCGAGAAGCUUAAAAAAUACGACGGCAAGGAGAAUUCUAAAAAUUGGAUCACUCUCUACGAGAUCGCAGUCCGAUCAACAGUAGGAGACGAGCACGUCAUGGCAAAUUACUUCCCAGUCGUCCUUGACCAAGCUAGCCAUCAGUGGCUCCUCGGCCUGCCUGAGGACUCCUUCGAUUCUUGGGAAGAACUGUGCCAGGCGUUUAUUGACAAUUUCAUCGCUACCUGCAAGCAGCCUAGAAACUAAUACGAUCUCGAGAGAAUAAGGGACAGAAAGAACGAGCCCUUGCGCGAUUACAUCCGACGAUUCUCGGAUAUGCGCCUUAAGAUUCCAAAAAUUUCUCACGACGAGGCCAUAUCAGCCUUCAUCAAAGGUCUACGCUUCCAUGAAGCACUAAGGAAUAAGCUACUGCGCAAAAGGCGGACCACGGUUACCGAGCUCCUCGCCACGGCAAAAAACUACGCUGAUGCCGAUGACGCAGAAAAACUCAUCCGAGAAGAUGCGAGAGGCGCCCACCAGCCUUCCCGACGAGACGACAGUCGCGGACGCUUCGACAACCGAAACCCUCACCGCAGUGACAACCGCGACCACCGAGAAGGUUGGGACAAGCGACGCGACAACCGUGAUGAUUUUAUAAGCAAGCGACCUCGUGACCACGACCACGAGGUGAACACAAUCAAGCGCCCCAACGGACGACGGGACUAUCAGGAAGACUACAACAAGACACUAAAAGGACCAUGCCAACUCGAUCCCAAGUCCAACCAUACGAUGGAAGAAUGUCGCGUCCUAAAAAGCAUCUAUACUCAGCGGGCCGCUCAGGGAGACUCUGUUAAGAAAAAUGGGAAACAAGAUAGGCACGAAGACGAAGACGACGACCAGGAUAGGGACCCGCGGCACCAGUAUGUCAGCCCUACCGAUGUGGUACAUUCCAUCUUUGGAGGCAAAGUUUCCAUCGAAUCCAAACGAGAAAGGAAGCUCCUGAAGAGAGCCUGCCUCAAUGUGGACAGCUCGGAUGGUCUGAUCACUGACCCGAAGUUUCCCCCUGGUCGCACAGAGAGAUCUCCUUCAACAGGCAGGACUAGUGGGCUGCAAUCCCAGAGCCAGGACGUUUUCCUCCGAUCCUAGACCCUUGCAUCUACAGCGUCAGAUUCGAGCGCGUGCUUGUCGACGGAGGCAGCUCCAUCGAUAUUGUUUUCCACAAUAGCCUGCCUGCUCUCAAGCUAACUUUAGCGCAACUGAAGCCAUAUGACGCUCAGUUCUGGGGCGUCCUGCCAGGUCAAAGUUCAGUACCCCUCGAGCAGACAACGCUGCCUGUCCAGUUUGGAACACCCGACCACUUUCGCAUAGAGUUCGUCAACUUUGUGGUCGCCGACUUUGACGGUACCUAUCACGCAAUUCUAGGUCAUCCCUCGCUGACCAAGUUCAUGGCGGUCCCGCACUACUUGUAUUUGGUCCUCAAGAUGCCAACUGAGAAAGGCGUCUUGACCGUCAGAGGCAACAUCUACACCGCAUACACUUGCGAGGAGGAAAGCUUCAACAUCACUGAGGCAAUUGAUCUCUCGAUUCGCAUGACAGAAACUGUAGCUCAAGCCACGCAAGUUCCACCCGACUAGCUCCAACUACCUGAGCAGGAGACUCCAAGGAAAAACUCAAAGUCCAAAGAGCACAAGGAAGUACAGCUGGUCGACGGCAACCCCGAGAAGACGGCUCUCAUCGGGGCCAACCUGGACCCCAAAUAGGAAGACGCGCUCGUUAGGUUUCUAAGGGACAACGUAAGAAUUUUUGCAUGGAAACCCAUAGACAUGCCCGGCGUCCCACGAAACCUGGUCGAGCACUCCUUAAAUGUCUUGAAGACCGCAAGACUGUUGACGGUCCUUAAGUAUCAAAUUUAAUCAUCAAAUAAAUAAAGAAAAGGAUCCAAAUGCAACGAACACCUAGACUUAGGGUUUUAUCUAACAGAAUUCCACAAGUUUUGGUGUUUGUCUAUUUCUGUAGGGGGUUAUCAGGAAAUAUGGAGGAAAGGCUCACACGUCGGGUUUACAUAGAGAUAUUAACGUGCCGCGCAAUUUUCUAUCAUCUAGAAGACUCCAGAAGUCACAAGAACGAACGGGAAGCCAAGCGGGCUCGGGGGUAGGGCGCCCGCCCGCCCCCCUUGGGCGCCCACCCAGCUACAGAGUCCAAUCCGGACUCGUUUCGCGGAUUACGCUCCACCGACCUAAAGGAUCAAGGAUAACCGUUCAAUCAAUGUCGGUUUGAUCCGACGGCCUAGAUUCACUUGAGGGGACUAUAUAAGUAGACCCCCUGGCCCCUGGAGGAGGCACCGCUUGAUCCCUAUUAAUUAUUCAUAGACAGAGCAAAAGCUAGGGUUUGGAGAUGAGAGCUCUCCUCUCAUCUCUAAACUAGAGUAGAUCUAGAUAGUAGCGAGAUGGAGAGCGAGGGAGGAUUGGAGGAGAGGCCGGCCUGUCGGUUCUUCCUCUGGUUGUACUUCGCCAUGAUCAAGCUCUAAUCAAGCUUGCUCAUGGGAUGACUCUGGUAAUCUACUUCUAAUUCAUUAUGCAAUUACUAAUCAUGUAUGUUCUGGUUCACAACUCUUUUGAGUACUUUAAUCUAUAGGACGCUAUAGGUGAUAGUUGUAGUAUAGGUGUAAGCGUGGUGCUUAGACCUAGAUUACUUGUGGAUAUCCCCUGUCUAGCUAGAUCGUGUGGUAGGCCGCGUAGGUGACAGUUACGUUGAUCCUCUGUAGUCCACCUCUUGUUAGCAGGACGGGUAGGGUUUAUCGCCCUAUGGAUAAGCAUCCUUUGUGGUGUAUUCUUAUCACGUGGUUCGUCCCAGACAUAGACAUACCCCUUUGAAGUAGAGAAACCAUAGUUAUCCUCUCUAUUCUGCUACCAUCGCCCAUAUAUUAGAUUGCUCUACUCUCUAUUCCCAUAUUAUCACCCAUUGUUAUUUUACCUUUAAUAUUGUUCUUAUUCAAUUCUACCAUCUUUCCUAUUUACACCUACCUAUCUAUCUAGGUUAAGUUAGAGCGUAGAUCAGUUCUCCCGUUUUCCUGUGGAUACGAUAAAACCUUUAACCGGGUAAAAGCUACAACGGUAUCCGUGCGCUUGCGGAUUUAUCUGUGUGCGUAUAAAUACCAUAGUACACUCUAGUGCCAUGGUGGGGAUGACAACCUAGUAUUCAAGUGGUGUUAGCUAGUUUUAACAAGCAUUUUUGACGCCGUUGCCGGGGAGACGGUUGCUGAGUUGACUACGAACUAGCUUAAUCAUUUUCUAAAAAAAAUAUUUUUCCUUUUACCCUUUGCCUUAUCUCUGCUAUUCUUUCUUCUUAUCUAAUCCUUGAUCUCUGGUCUAUCAUGAAUUCAAACAUGUCUAUCUACGAAUUCCAUAGACCUACGGGCACACAUCUCGAACCACCAAAAUCUUCAAAGCCUAUCAUAGCAUCUAGUUUUGAGAUAGACCCCGAAUACAUAGAAUUUUUUCAAAAACAACCUUUCUCAGGAGAAGGUGAAGAAAACCCAUACAUACACCAAAGAGAGUUUUAUCGAGUCUGUGACCUCCUUCGCAUAAAAGGCAUGUCCGAUGAGACCCUUAAAUGGAAGCUCUUUCCGUUCUCUUUAAUAGGAAAAGCUAGACAUUGGUAUAAACUCAAAGUAGGGAGUGUUCAUGGAGAUUGGAAGGAGAUACAUAAUAGUUUUCUUUUAAAAUAUUUUCCAAUCUCUAAAGUGGCGGAACUUCGGCGUGAGAUUAUUUCUUUUAGACAACUGGAGGAAGAAUCUCUUGGCAAAUCAUGGGACCGCUUUAUUAACCUUACUCUCAUUGGCCCAAAGCUUUCUAUUCCACAAGAAGUUCUUCUAAUUCACUUUUUUGAGGGCCUUAGUAUGGAAAAUAAGCAAACAUUGAAUACAGCCUCCGGAGGAUCUUUCCAUCACCUAUCCGCUAGUGAAGCUUGGAAUUUGAUUGAUUUAAUGAGCGAAAAGUCUCCUAGCUUUUAUAUCCCUGAGAAAGAGAAAGAACCAGUUCCUAGACAAGAAGAAGAAGUUUCGAUAGCCACAUCACAACCACUUCAAUUCCAAACUUUAGCUAUCGAUCCUAAACCAUCAAUACCCCAAAAUUCUCCAAGGGAGGAAGUAAUUCCGACCUUAAAUCUUUUAGAUACUGAUGGUUUAGACUUCUGGUUCCAUAAGAGACCUUCAAGCAGGGAUAAUUCAAAUCCUUGCAAUAAUGUUUCUCUUAGAAAAUGUCCUGGUUCCUUUUAUGAAGAAGUCGAGGAUGACAUAUCAAGUGAAGGAGAGCUAAGCCAUAUAGAAAAUUCUAUCAGCUCCCCUUUCCUGAUCACAAGUUCUAAAUGGCUAGAAUGUGUAGAAUGGAUGGAUAAGGAAGAAGCCUUAAUGGAUUCUGACUUUGGCUAAAAUGGUGAGUUCUUGACUCCCUUUGAAAAUGGGAUUCAUCCAACUAUAGAAGAGGACAUAGGUGAGACCAAUCCAGGAGAAAUUUCAAACAUUCAGAUUGGAGACGAAGAUAACAUUAAUGAGCAUGGAAUUUAUUUCAAAGCCAUCUCAUUUACUCCAUGCUCAUAUGCAACAUCUUCCCAAUCUAUUGGUCUCUCCAACAUCACCACAUUUGAGAUCUCCAACCCCCUCUUCCUUUAUAUUUAUAAAAACUUUAAAAGGGCGGUUGUCAAUGCAUAUGUCUAUAAUAAAUAUUGUAGAUCUCAUUGAGUUGAUCUUGAUAUAGGUCAGCGUUGGAAGGGAAACCACUACGCCGAGAUAAAUUGAUGGUUUCCCAAGGACAAGCUUAGUGUCCUAAAAUAUGCAUUGAUCAGAUCGUAACAUGAGCUUUUAAUUAUUUGCAACAUUACCUUGUGUAUUGAGCAUAUAAGGAUAAUUGUAAAAAUAUUCCUUCGGGUAUUCUUGUCACUAACCUUUCUAAGAUUGGAGCAAGAAGAUCGGAUGAAUGACAAGCACAAGGUACGUCCAACCGAUCAUCAUACAACAUUGAAUUAAGUUCAUCCAAACUUGAAUUUUGCAAAAUUCAAGCUUGGCGAAGUACCUUACAUAAAAACAUCUUUUGUCAUGUUGCUAUGUUGGUUGUCCCUACCUUUGAAACAUGCUUAAUUUGUUAAAUACUAAUCACACUACUUCAUCUCCAUUUGAGUCGAUCUCUAUAAAUGCUGUCAUGCUACCUUUAUCUAUUUACUAGCAAGUGUUGGUUUGGAAGUACUCGCCAUACUUCCAUUGGCAUUUAAAUUAAGCAUGGUGCUUAGGUUAAAUAGCCUUCCUUAAUCUGAUUAGACAUGGAGUCUAGUUUGGUUAUUGAACUAAAAACUGCUUGAGUAGAUAUUGGUAUAUUUUGUCGGACUAACCCCUGCAGGAAAACUUUCAAUAUCAACCUGGGAAGUCCUGAGAUAAACUCACAUUGGAGACAAGGAGAGGGACACAUGAAGUUUAACAAUUUGCACAAGAAGGACAUAGCUCAUUCAUCAUAGAGAGAUGAUCCAUGGAAGGAGACAAAGUACAUAAACAAGAUACACAACCACUACGAAUGGGAAGCUUCCACAAGGUGAGAUGGUACCAUCACUCUUCAAUUAAGGUAACAUCUUAAGAUAUCUGACUAUCACUUUUAUAAGCUUCUCCUUGGUUCUGGCGUUCACAUAAAUAAAGAGACAAACAUGUAUGAUUUAUAACUCCAAAUUAACCAACCCAACUGACUCAGCAUGUUUAGUCCUUUAAUCUUUGUUCCUAGUACUACCUCCAUGAUCCCACACUCCUAAUCAUAUGAGCUAAAAUGUUACACAUUCAAUCUUUGAGAGAUAUAAAGAAAAAGACAUAUACAUAGAUAGAUUAUCUUUCCAUAAGGUUGAGCGAUCUGAUCUGACAAAUGUUAUAAGUACUGCACUCAUGAACUUAUCAUCCAUCACCAUUGUCUUGCUCACUAUGCUUAAGGUUAGAGAAGAACAAAUACACUUUUGGUUCUGUGGGUGUUUUCCACCAACAGGACCCAUGCACUUGAUCUCUGCCUUGUCUCUAUGAGCAGGUACACUUCAAGCAAAAUAUGGAGGAGUUUUAUAACUCUCAGACUCUACCAAAUGAAGGACCUGGAUCUACGAGCACAAACACACUGAGCAGGAUGCUGCCAACGCCGCACUUCGAACUGCUGGGCAAACGAAGAACAUGGGUGACACCGUAUCAAGAGGUGCAGACGUCAAGGUCCACACCUGAAUCAAAUGGCGCACCUAAAGAAUGAACACGGUGAGAAGUCUUGUUCAGAAGACUUAAAACAUUGGAUCCUUCCGGAAGGUAAAAUCGGUAUUUAUCCAUAUUUAUCUUUUCUGCAAUCCUUUUCCUUUUUUUAUUUCAUCACUUGCAUUAGUAUAUUUACUUUUCCACAUUAGCAUUAGAAAAGAAAACAAAAAUAUUUGUUCAUUGCACUGUAUCAUAAAAUCUAAAGCCCCAUGUGAGUAGACUUGUGGUUUAAAACCCAUAGGUAUAUUGACUGUGGUGGUAUAAAAUAAAUAUGUUUUGAUCUUACAAUAAAAAAAAUAAUAAGUGCAUGAUCCUGCUAAAUAAAUAAAAUUUAUUAGGGGGAAUAUCAAUAUGAUAAAGGCUAAGAGAUUUUAUGCUAACACUUAACCAUUCCACAAAGCUUUGUUGUCUAUUUGAGCUCCACAGAAUUCAAGGAUCAAAGAAGACUAGCAAACGGAGGACAUCCUAAUCGCUGUCAGGGUGCUGCCGACAUUCAAAUACACCUCCGUCAACUGCUAGCUACAUCAGAAGAAAUUACGUCAAAAUCCAGCUUGGGGGAGAGCACCCCCAUUUAUCCAGCUAAGUGUUUCUACUCAUAUUUAUACUUUACUCAAAUAAUAAAAAGACGCAUAAUCGUAAAAACCCAAAUAAAGAUUUUAUGCUUAUAUAUAUAUAUAUAUCUUUUCUUAGUUUGCUAAAUAAAUAAAUAAAUAAAGUUUGCUAUGAACCCUCAUAAUAGGCUCUCACAUGGAAAUGAUGAAUAGUUGCUCUGCCAUGAUUAGUUCUCAAAAUUGAAAUCUCUCACAAGUUUAGGUAUGACUGUUAUGAAUUAAGAUUUGCUCUAAACCUAAACUUGUGGGAAGAGUACUUGAUCUAAAGUCUAAACGGAUAUGAUAUGGGAAGGUUGAGCUGCUGUUUAUCUGUUCCUAGAGAUGCUAGAAUUCUGGAGAAUUUUAUCUUUAAAAAUCUUUAAAAUAUUGCAUGAUGAGUUCCUGUAUAAUGAGAGUUUAAAAUCCUACCACAGCCAUAUAUACAUGCUUAUUAGACUAUGAACCAUACAUUUACUUUUUACUGCUUAUGAGCAUUGAGUGUGGUCAAGCUGUGUAGACCCUUAGGAGCUUGUCAUGCGGUUAAAAUCAAGAUUCACUUGCACGUUCACUCAUACAUGCUGCUUCUACUCCGAUAGUACGCAUCCACAUACAUCCACUCAUUUCCAUAUCCAGAUUCACCUAAAAUUAUUCUAUUCCUAUCCAGGAGAGAAUAGCCAAAAAUAUUAUCCUAUCCCUGUUAUUCCCCAUGAAAUAAAUGCUCGAGAUAUUUUGGUUACUACCACUUGCUACAUUAUUCCAAGAGGGUGAGUGCUCUGAAAAAAAAAGAAAAGUGAAUACGAGGAAAUAAAAAGGGGCAAGUGCCCGGAACCUCGAAAGAAAAGAAAAAGUAAGACGAGAGGUAAAAAUGGACAAGUGUCCGACAGUAGAAUUAGGGGUACAAGAUACCCACCUGAGAGAAAAGAAAAAGAAAAUAUAGAGCAUCUCAUUCCUCUCAAAAACCUUCAAAGUGCAAGAAAGGUAUGUAUCCCCUCAAAAGAGCAAAAGUAGAAUUAGACUUUCACCAUUAUUUUCAACAUUAUCACCAUCAUCACCAUACACCAUUCAUUCGCCACGCAUGCACAUCUUGAUUUGACUUAUUGACUUGUUUCUCUAGAUCCAUGGUUUGACUAUGCAAUAAAUGUCUUGUAAGUAUGUAUUAGCUGUCUCCCACCUAUGAGCCCAGAUAUCAAAACCUUGUUAGAGUAGGGUGAGAGAGAAGGCAAUAAUAUCAUUAUGCCUCAUACCACAAAUACCACAUACUUUGAGAGAAGGCAUAUAUCAUCACUGCCUUGGUAAGGAUCCAGAAAUACCACAAAAGAGAGACUAGAGAGAGUCAUACAAGGAAUCUCUGAGUUUUAUUUGAAAAUCUACAAAAACUCCAGAGCUAUAGUUGAUCAAAGAACAAGAGACAUGGUGCUUCACUUGACCGUUCUAUCUUUUAACUGCUCAAGACACAAUUGACGGUUGCAAGCCCCAUGGUGGAAGGUAAUAUGAGUAAACUUAAAUCUUAAUAGUUUAUCUUAACCUAGACAUGAGAUCUUGUUUGAACGCAUGAGUACCUUUAAGGCAUAAAACCACAGCAAAAACUCUUGAGUCCAUCUUUGCUCAGGGACGAGCAAGAGGUAAGCUUCGGGGAGUUUUUUGACGGUCCUUAAGUAUCAAAUUUAAUCAUCAAAUAAAUAAAGAAAAGGAUCCAAAUGCAACCAACACCUAGACUUAGGGUUUUAUCUAACAGAAUUCCACAAGUUUUGGUGCUUGUCUAUUUCUGUAGGGGGUUAUCAGAAAAUAUGGAGGAAAGGCCCACACGUCGGGUUUACAUAGAGAUAUUAACGUGCCGCGCAAUUUUCUAUCAUCUAGAAGACUCCAGAAGCCACAGGAACGAACGGAAAGCUGAGCGAGCUCGGGGGCAGGGCGCCCGCCCUCCCCCCUUGGGCGCCUGCCUAGCUAUAGAGUCCAAUCAGGACUCAUUUCGCGGAUUACACUCCACCGAUCUAAAGGAUCAAGGAUAACCGUUCAAUCAAUGUCGGUUUGAUCCGACGGCCCAGAUUCACUUGAGGGGACUAUAUAAGCAGACCCCCUGGCCCCUGGAGGAGGCACCCCUUGAUCCCUAUUCAUUAUUCAUAGAUAGAGCAAAAGCUAGGGUUUGGAGAUGAGAGCUCUCCUCUCAUCUCUAAACUAGAGUAGAUCUAGAUAGUAGCGAGAUGGAGAGCGAGGGAGGUUUGGAGGAGAGGCCGGCCUGUCGGUUCUUCCUCCGGUUGUACUUCGCCAUGAUCAAGCUCUAAUCAAGCUUGCUCAUGGGAUGACUCUGGUAAUCUACUUCUAAUUCAUUAUGCAAUUACUAAUCAUGUAUGUUCUGGUUCACAACUCUUUUGAGUACUUUAAUCUUUAGGACGCUAUAGGUCAGAGUUGUAGUAUUGUCGACAAAAGCUAGUCGGCAGUCUACCCAGGGGUAUACCCACGGUAGUAGUUUAUCGGUAGACGGUGCGGAAGCUACGAACUCGACGGAGAUGCAAGACACAGACAAGGUUUUUAUCCAGGUUCGGCCGCCGUGUGGGCGUAAUACCUACGUCCUGCGUCUGAUUGUAUUGGAUUGUGUUGAGAGAAUCUCCUUGGGGGGUCCCUUGCCUCUCCUUAUAUAGUCCGGAGGGCAGGGUUACAGAUCUGGAAACUAAUCCUAGUCGGUUACAAUUGCCAUAGAUAGUUCGAUAUCAUUCCUAUUCUAACCGACUAGAAUCCUGCUUGAUCUCCACAUCUUGUUUCCUUGCGCGAAACUCCGAGCUUGUCGGAUCAAGCCUCGAACUUGUCUCGUAAUGGGCCAAGCCUCCUGGCCCAAGUCUAGCCGUAAGGGUAUAGGGGUUUAUACCCCCACAGCUAGUCCCCGAGCACCAUGUAUUGUGAAGUAACACGCCGUCUUGAGCUUCUUCAACUAGUGAGGUUUGACAUCUUCAAUAAGCAGGAAGGUCGCCCAAACAGUUGCAACGGUAUUUUGACCAACUCAAAAGAUAAUUGACCAACAUUGACAUCGAAGAAGCAGGUUGUUCGAAGAAUGCAUGGUGCUCUUGAGAAAAAAUAUUUCUUUUCUCGAUGAAGUGUGCCCACUUUACUUUUAUAAAAAGUAUGUCCUUAACAAAAAAGGCAAGCAAGUUCACCACAAGGUGAAGUGUGCCCACUUAGUCCCCGAGCAUGGUAGCAGGUGUCGUAGGCACGUGGUGCCAGGGUCAAAAGAAAAGUCCUCAAAGAAAUUCUUAAACUGAGAUGCAUCGCCAGAUGCAUCGUACCGAUGUAGUCCCCGAGCUUGCUGGAAGGCGAAGUAUGAGCCAUGUAGCAAGGUCUAAAAAAUUCAAGUUUUCUAGUCCCCGAGCAUCUCAUGCUCAUUUGCCAUCGGGUAGACUUACCAACCAGUCCCUGAGCGUGUAGUGCUCGGUGGUUGGUGCAGUACCCAGAUUUCCAAACUGGCAGACUGGUCGACCAGUACCCAAGCAUACAGUGCUCGCUGGUCGGUGCAGUCCCUAGAUCUCCAAACUGGCAGACUGGACGACCAGUCCCCAAGCAUACAAUGCACGGUGGUCGGUGCAGUCCCCAGAUCUCCAAACUGGCAGACUGGACGACCAGUCCCCGAGCAUACAGUGCUCGGUGGUCGGUGCAGUCCCUAGAUCUCCAAACCGGCAGACUGGACGACCAGUCCCCGAGCAUACUGUGCUCGGUGGUCGGUGUAGUUCCCAGGAACGUUGAUCCUCUACCAAUUUUCGUCUGUUAUUUUGAAAAACAUCUCAUCACAUAAAUGGGUGAUGUGACGAGACCUCCUGACGCAUUGUCAGAUGGUUGCGUGAAAAGGUGCACCCGGUAACUGCGCAGCCGCUCUUUGCGUGGUUCAAGAAAAGGAAACCAUUAAUUAUGCAAAAAGGCUGCCGUAUUAACUGCUGGUAAUUGUUGGAAGCCGAAACGCCGCAUCUGCCGCUGGGCCCGCCCACUUCCCAAGAAUGCGGGAAGUGGGAGGGGUGGAGUUGUUACUUAUAAAAGCUUGAUGGUGCCCCCGUAUCGUUUACCCUGCCAUUGCCUUCAAGCUUUCCAUUCUUGCCUUCUGCAACCAUCAUCAAUCCCCCAACCUCGUAGUCAUUCCCACAGUGUUAAUGGCGAAAAGCGACUCCAAGAAGAGGGCCGAGCUGAUGGCUAAGGAAUGGAAGAAGUCUCGGAGCAGCGUGAGGUCCCUCAAUGACCUCGUCGGCAUGGGUCUACUACACAGCCAAGAGCUCGGCGGCUGGAGGGUGCCGGAGGGGGAGAGCUACCCCGACCCCCGUGCCGGUGAGAUAGUGGUUUUCGAAGAUUUUUUCAACAGGGGUUUCGGGGUUCCUGUCCAUCCUUUUCUCCAGGGGCUUCUUCUUUACUAUGAGAUCGGGAUCUGCAAUCUGUACCCGAACUCAAUUCUUCUUAUUUCCACUUUUAUCCAUCUGUGCGAGGCCUAUGUUGGGAUAGAGCCGCACUUCGAUCUUUUCCGCUACCUUUUCUGUUUGAGGAAGAAAGGAGCGGUUGGAGGCUCCAAGAUUGCAGGUGGAGUAUACCUCAAUCUUCGUGACGGGAUGAAGAACUGGUAUCUCAGCUACCCAUGGAACACUUCGCUUACCGAGUGGUACAAGAAGUGGUUCUACGUCAGGGAAGAACCGGGCAGCUCCACGUUCUGCGACGUGGGGUACAUUCCCGAGAAGAGGGUCAGUUCGACAGACCGCCCAGCGUUCACCGGUCAGGUAGAAGACCUGAUGAAGCUGAUCGAUUGGUCGUGUUUGGACGGGCUAGGAGUGGUCGGCAACUUCGUUUGUCGUCGGGUGAUGCCCUGCUAGAAGAGGGUGCACUCGGCGUACGAGUACGCUGGGAGCCAGGACCCGACCAGGAUGAGCCCAGAGGUCUUGGAGAAGGUGGAAGUGCAACAGCUGUUGAACGAGCUGUUCAACUUUGCCGACGGCAGCUUCGUCCGUAGUAGUGAUCGGGUGCAGGCCUUCAAGCUGGGGCGAACAGCUCCCAAGGUAAUGUUGCGAACCGAUUUUGCUUUUUCGAGUACUAGUUCUCCUAGUUGUUGAUUUGUCUUUUAUUUUUGCUGUAGAUUGGAGACGUUGACCAGUGCGCGGUGUUCGUAUCACUGGCACCCGGCAUGGAGAACCCCGCGGGGGUAGACCCGUCGGAAGAGGACGCUGCUCGGUGUGCUUGGUACACCAGCAGUGAGGAAGAGCAGAACCAUCCCGCCCCGACCACCGAAGACAGAGUGGCGGGGAAAAGGCCGCUAGCAGCAAACCCCUCCCCUGCGGAAGCGCUGUCGGCGGAGAGCAGUCAGGCGCCAAAGCGCCGUCGACUCAUCCGGAUCACCGACAACGACGACGAGGAGGAGGAGGCCGCGCCUUCCCUGGUCCGGAGGCCGCGCAGUCGUCCGGACGUAGCGCCGACCACCACUGAUCGGGUGACUAGCGACCCUCCUACACCGCGCAUCGUAGAGACGGGGGCGCAGGCACCAUCCGGUAGGACCAGGAGGAGGUUCACCGCAACACACAGGCGAUCUGACCUGUAAGUGUUUAAUCUUACUUUCGUACUGCGACGUUCUGCAUUUUGCUGCUAUUUCUGACAUUAUUUAAAUGUCGUUUCGUUGUCCAGCGUGGCGUCGGAUGUCGACCCCGACCAGGUCGCUGAAUAGAGGACGGCUGAGCCUGUAGCCGCCGUUGGUGACGCCGCGCCGCAAGCCACGGAGCAGCCUGUGGUGACAACUGCUGCUACGAGCGCCGAGGAAUAACCGGCCCCGGCGAGUGCCGCGGCGAGCAUCCCGACGAGGGAUGAAGAGGCAGCGAGGACCCCUCCACCGAGUAAUGUUGUGGGGGAGGAAGACAGAGUCCCGACUCCUCCAGCCGGAGAAAGGGGGGUCCCAACACCGCCCCGAGCAGAGGCCUCUUCGCCCAUAGGCUCCCCUGGCCUGCACCAGGGGCCAGUGAUGCCUACGACCGCGGCCGGUGGCAGUGCGGCGAACGAGGAGCCCUGGGCGGCCUCUAACGACGACGUGGAGGAGAUCCAGGGUCGUCCCAGUGACGGCCGCCAGCACGUCUACGUGUGGCGCCAACGCGGGGACCACUUCAUUGGACAUGAGGAGCUCGCGGAGACGGAAGAGGCCGCGAGGGUGGAGCGCGCGGCCAAGCGUCUCGUGGACGAGGUUAAGGUAAGUAGUCCUUUGUGCUGCUCGACACUUAUAUGCUGUGUUCCUGGGUUCGACAUAUGUUCUUCUUGCAGGGCGCGAUGAAAACGGUGAAGUACCGGAAGAGGUGCUUCGACCAAAUAGAGCGCAUUGUGGCCGAGAACAAGGCCUUGUCCACGCAGGUGGACCGGCUUCGGUCGGAAGUUGGAGAGAAGGUGGCCGAGAUGAGUGCUCAGGAAGAGCGUCGUUUCGAGCUCACUCGGCGUUUAGCCGACCAGUAUCGGCAGCGGACAGGUGAGUCAUGUACUCCGAGCAUCUGUUUGUGGCCGCGUGGCUAGUUGUGUUGACCAGAGGAUUGUUCCUGUAGACUUGGAAGAGGAGGUCGCGCGCCUCCGGCAAGAGAAGGAACAGCUCGACCAAGAGCUUGCCGGGGCGCUGGAGGCCGGGCGCCGAGCAGGCGAGGAGCUAAGCCACAGGAAUCGGGAAUUGUCUGGUAAUAACCGUGCCACCCCCUUUUUAUUUGGUUGCUUCACAUUCCUUUCCUUGUUCUGACCUCCUGUUUGGUUUGUAGUGCUCAAGGUGAAUACCAAGAAGCAUUUAGACGAUCUGGUCAAGGAUCGGGACUCCUGGAAGGCCAACUGCAUUAAGCUUUGGAAAGGAGUGGCCCCGGUUCUGGACUUGAUCAGCCCUGAGCUUCCUGAAGACCAGCCCCGCGCGCCGAGACUAACGCCAGUCGAGAAGGCGCAACGAGCGUGGGACUGGCUCCAACAGUUCGUCAAGGACGCCGGGGAGUUCGCCGGCGCGCACGUCCUCAGCAUGGUGUGCGCCCACUAUCCCCUGGUCGACCUGUCCAGGCUGGAGAGGGGGUACCCUAAGGAAGUUGGCCCACAGGAGGCAGACGACCUUCGAGCUGGCCUGCUUGACUUGUCGUCGACGGUGAUCGGCGACAUCAACCAAUGCGGGACGGCCACUCCCCCCGACCAGCCGGGGUCAGACAGAUCGGCCAGGGAGUUGUCGGGGGCGUCCAUUGCCGGAGAUGGGCGGUCGACGCCUGCGGUCUCGACCAACCAGGCACCGGUGGCCCCGACCCCUUCGUCUGGGCAGCAAGGCCAAGCGGGUGAUCAGCCCGAGCAGUAGGCCUAUAGGAUAGUCUGUAGGAGUAGACUAGUAUCCGCCCGUCGGGGUGUUUAUUGUAAACUUUGUAUGUAAAGUUUGUAAUAAAAUUUGAUUUUGUCAUGACCAUGAUUCUGAGAGCUGUAAUGUUAUCUGGGUGAUGUAUCACUGUGUUUGAUUGAUAGUCGUUAAGAGUCUUUGCCGCAGAGGAAGACUGUUGUACUCGUCGGAACCUCUGCGUGUAAACAAUACAUAGCGAAAAAGAAAAACUUUUAUUAUUGCUAAUUAUAAGAAACUUACAAGCAAAAGAUACUGGAACUUAUGGAUAAAAACGGCGCAGUUUGUCUAUGUGCCAAGAAAUGGGCACGCGUGUUCCAUCUCGAUAUGCCAGUCUGUAGGAUGUAGGGCGUGUGACCUCGGCGACCACAAAGGGUCCUUCCCAAGGCGUGGAUAACUUGUGCGUUCUUUCCUGGCUUGUUUUCCACUUGAGUACUAGGUCACCGACUGCGAAAGAAUGGUCUUUGAUGUUCCUGUUGUGAUACCGCCUGAUGGCUUCGAGAUACUUUGCUGUUCGAAGACAUGAAAUUAGACGCUUUUCCUCCAUGCAGUUGAUUUCGAGCUCCCUGGCGUUGUCAGCCGUUGAUUGGUCGAAGUUUUCAACUCUUGGAGGUCUGAAGGUUAUAUCAGACGGAAGUACUGCCUCGGAGCCAUACACCAUGAAGUAGGGUGAUACACCUGUAUUGCGACUGGCCUGUGUUCGGAGACCCCAGACCACGGCCGGCAAUUCUUUCAUCCAUGGACCAGGCGCUCUGUCGUUCUCGGUGUACAACCUUUUCUUUAGGGCAUCAAUGAUCAUUCUAUUUGUGCGUUCGACUUGACCGUUUUCUCGUUGGUGAGCAACUGACACGUAUUUUAUGACUAUGCUUCUGUCAUCGCAGAAGUCCCAGAACGUAGUGCCAGUGAACUGAGUGCCCAGGUCGGUGAUUAUACUGUUGGGGAUCCCGAAUCUGUGUAUGAUUUGAUUAAGGAACUCCACGGCCUUCUUGGAGGUUGCUUUGACCAGUGGUGUAACACCCUAGGGGUUUGUCACUUGCUAAGUACUAGGUUUGAGCUCAAACAUGACAAGUUCAUUGGUAAUAAAGAGGUCAAAGUCAAUCUAUGAAAGUAAACCCCAACUUGGGCUUGGUGGAUGCAACCUUGCUUGCAUAUAUGCCUUUUUAAAAGGUAUGCUUUGAUGAUGCUAAUGGAACCUUUUCCAUGUGUCUUAUAUCCAUCCCAAUCUAUGUUGGUCUCUGGAAAAGUUUGGUGAAGUUUGGAAUCAAGAAGUCACAUGAAAUGAUAAGUUAUAUCCUUGUUGGAAUGGCUCUAUUAAGGAAAUAGAAUCAUGGGUCACCAACCAGACCUUGCAAACUUGCUCAUAUGACACUAGAUGAAUUAUACAACAAAAGUCAUGAAGGGUUCAUGUUGAGCUUAUGUAAAGAAAAUGCUGGAAUUGGCCUAAAACCCUAUUUGGAGCUUUAUCAGGAUACUGCUUUGACCAAAGUGAAAGUUUGACUUCGGUUGGAGUUAUGAGGAUUGACCCUAAAUAAAAGUUGUAGUUUUCCUUCUGUAGAAGAAACUUUAUUCAAGGGUCAAGAACCAAAUCAGCCUGCAAAUAGUUCAAACAGAGGCUCAAAGUUCGAAUCAGCUGCUGCUUUUUAGCCCUGAGAAAUAAUUCUAAGUCCCGGAAAGUGACAGCAGCAAGUUAGCUUCUUUGUGACAUUUUAGCAUCCAAAUUCAUAUAGUAACUCAGUUGGAUUCCUUAAUAUGAGUUGGAUUACUCUUCUUGAUGAAAGCAAUGGAUCAAGUAUCAUCAAAUUUAGAGUUCAUUUGGAUAUCUAAAAGUAGCUCCCAAAACAGCAAAUGAUUAUUUUAUCGCUAAACGGACGUCGACCCGUUGGCAUGCCGUGUUCUCAUGUUUUUGUUAAGCAACAAAAGUUGGUCCAAGAAUAGAAGUAGUGGACAAUUACUUGGAAAAGGUCAUGUAAAAAGUUGCAUCAUGUUUGACGUGAUUUGGACCAUCAAUUCUUAGUUUUGCUAAUCACCGUCAAUACGUUGACACUCGUGACUUGGCAUCUAAUUAUCUCAUAAUCUGUUUGUCUAAUGACCAUGGUCCCUUAUUAAAAGUUGUAGUGCACGGUAGGGUGAGCAAACUUCGUUUUUGGCCCAUCUCCAAAUUCGGCCCGGAACAAGCCCAAAAUUGCCUCUCACCUUGCCAACUCCGACGCGCGCCACGUGCUCGACAAAAUACUUCAAAGGACGACGCGUGUCCUGCGCGUGGUCACCAUGCACGGCCCUGUGCCCCACCUCCCCUGUCCUUGCUGCUUCGAUGGCAUAGAGCCGCCCAGGCGCCCUCCACUCCGUUGGCUCACUCUCUGUGCUUCCCCAGUCCUCCCUACUCGCCCCCUCUCGCCCAUCGUUCGCUCUGGAGCUUGCCAUGGCCAGCAGCAGCCAUGGCCGGUGGACAGAGCUCCCUGCCAUCGCUGCUCUCCCUAUUGCGCUUGGUUAAGCCUCAGGCUGGAAAUGUCCCGGCGUCCACCCCGCCUUCCUCCUCCUCCUGCGCAUGCUCGCGUGGCCCAUGGAAGCCGAAGCCGCGCCGGUGUCGGGCCACCAUCGCUGCAGCCGUCGGCAUCCAUGGCUAAGCCACCCUGGACCACCACGGCGUGUGCCGCGGCCACCACGGGGUGCGCACGGCCCCCCUGGUCCUCCCCCGCCACUUCUUCGUCGCCGACGUGCCGCUAAACCGCCGGAAAACGCGAGUCCGAGCACCUCCUCUGUUCUGAUUCGCGUUAGGGAUCUCGCGCGACAAUUCGACGAAAUGGGAGGGGUUAUGUGCGAACCUGUGAGUCAUGUGAAUAGUGUUGCAAGGAUCUAUUCGUUGGAAUCUAGUUUGUGAAAAGUUCAGGGUUCCUGAUGCAAGAUCCAUUUUGCUUUGUUUCAUUCAGAUUUCUAGAUGAUCUUUGAUAAUGCAUAGAAAUUUAUAGAAAAGUCGUAAAAUAGCAAAUGUGAACUUUUUGGAAUUCUUAUGAAAUUCACUAUGCAGUAGAUCUAUAAUAUGGCAUGGUUUAGUUUGAAGUUUUCGUCGUAAAAAUAGAUUUAUGCAGUUAGGUUUUAAUUGCUUGUUAUAUUUGUCUUUUUCAUAACUGCUGUGUUGUUGCCUAAAUAAAUGUGAAAAUAUUGUGACAUGCUUUUCAUAUGAUAUUUGAUGACUGGUACAAUUUUCAUGAAUUUAGGAACAAUAGAUUAAGAGUCAUAAAAAUAACAAAUACCCCGUGUUCCUUUGCUCCUAUUCUGAGUGGAUCUGCAUAUUUGUAUUGUUUGGCUCAGUUAAGUUGUGAAUCAUGCCUUAAUGAAAAUAUAUAAGUUUUAUUACUUUUCAUGAUAUUUCCAAAAAGAUAAAUAGCACAAUUUUCGGUUAAGCACAUGUUUAGUUAUAGUGGUUUAAAGUAUUGUUCCAGUUUCUGUCUAAACCCAGACAGCACUGCAUUGUUUGUAAUGUACGACCUUAUUAAUGGUAGGUUUAGCUGUAGAUGUUUAUAACAAAGAUGUUCACAAUUUCGUAAGAUUUCUAGAAAGUACACAAUCAUAAAUUAUGGACAUGUGAACCUCAAGUUAUAGCUGUUUAAUGUAGCAUGACAGAUUCUGUCUAUGUUUUGGACAGAGAUGCCUUCAUGGGAUUAAUUGACCUUGUUAACUGUGGAAUCAUAUUUAGAUGAUAAUAAGAAAGUUGUAGGUAACUUUAUAAGCUUUCCACAAAUAUAAGAAUUAUGUUUGCUGGAGGUCAACAACUCCAGUUAUGCUGCUUUGAAUUGCCUAUCAGUUUUCUGUGUGUAAUUGUACCCCUACUGUUUGGGCAGCAUGGGCAGUUUUGAUUGUGCAACUAAUUUCAUGAUAUAAAUGAUGUUUCUUGUGCAACUUGUCUAUAUACAAUAUGUAGAUAAUUUAUUAACAUAUCUUGUGGUAAAGUUUCAUAUCAUUUGGCUAAGUGGUUUAUGAGUUACAGUAGUAUGAAGUUCAUCCCCUGAAAUGCUUGUUCUCUGGAAAUUCCUGGACCAGAUUAUAUGGUCAUGCAUGUUUGACUUGGUUAACUUGUUAAUCAUGCUAAUAUGAUUAAAGAUGAAUUGUAUAUGAUUUUAUAAUCUUUCCAGAAUGUCCUAUUGCAUAGUUUUUGGAGCUGUGUAGCUCUAGUUAUGAAUUGUUUACUGAGUUGCUGCAUGUAUGUCCAAAAUUGCUGAAAAUGCAUGAAUGCUUGAUUGCUUUACUUGUUGUGUGCAAACUGUGAUUCAUGUCUUUAAUGGUGAUUAAGUAAUACACUUGUAACCUUGUAAAACUUGUGUCAUUAUUGAUAUGUUUGCUCUAUAUAAUUGGUCGUGUGAUGUUAGCUAAAUAACUUUAGAUGCCUAUGUCUUGCAUACUUUUCUGUGAUGCAUGUUGUGUUAUUAUUCUUUAUAUUCAUGCACUUGCAUCUUGCAUCUCAUCUAGGUGCGCUAGAUGAAUCACGUCAAGGUCUUGGUGUGGGAACAAACCCGAAGACAGUGUUGGGUGGACCCAUCCUGAAGGUGGAAGGACAAAGCAAGUGUUGUGACCUAAGAUGUCACCAAGAUGGAGCAACUAAUUGAACUGACUCCUUGUUGAUCCCAGGCAAGCCCCGGAGCAUUAUAAGUCUCCUACUACUUUUGAAUGCAAUUGAGAAUAUAUGUUAUAUAUGUAUUGUUGCAUUAAGUAUAGGAGUUGGGUGAAACCCUUGCUGCAUAUAUCACUCCUUGUCCAGUAAAUAUACCUAUACCCCUACGUAGAUUCAGAAUCGAAUCUAAAUGCUUAGUUAUGCUUAGACCGGUAAAGCCAGGUGACGUUGUGUCACCUGAGCCAAAUAGGUGAAUACCUGGAUAAGUUGGCUAUAUAUGCUAUCAUGGAAAUAACCAAGUGAUGAGGAUGAAUAAUUGGAGACCGGGCGGGACGAUGGUAGAGAAGUAACAAGACAUGGAGGUCUUGGGUGCCUAUCUAUCCCCGCAUGUGUCGAUUAAGGACCGAUCGUUGACAGCUCUCUUGUCAUGUUGAACGCAUGUCCCACACUUAGCUGGAAGGAUAAGUCGUUCCAACCGCGAAGCCUGAGCACUUUCCGGGCCGGGAAUCGGCCCGAUGUACGCGCUGUAUUGGUGAUGGUUGAGGAGAACGACGAGGGCGCGGCGCGCAACCUUGGUAUACCUUGGAUACCUCGGUCUCCGGAACGGUCCUCGGGUACGGGCGGUGCCUGUCGAACCCGCGAAUUGGUCCUGGAUAGUGCAAUACGGUGAUCUGUAGCUCACUUGAUCAGUGAGUGUGGUUUGUGUGGGGAAUAACUCGCCAGUUGGUUAGAAAUCGAUUCGAAUCGCCAUCGCUCCUGGACAGUGAGCACUUGACUUGAGCUUCGUCAUCGUAGUAAUGUUUAUGGAACACUUGGAAGGUUAUGGUAUGAUGAUGUUGGAAAUGCCACAUCAAAUAUGGGUACUAUGGUUGUAUCUUAAUCAAGUGAUUGCUUUAGUACAGGUGCUAAUCUAGAUGACAGGUUAAUAAUUAUUAACUUGAGCUAAAUACCUGAAAGGUUACUUAGUUGCAACUUAAGCUUUUUAUGCAAAAAGUGUUGUCAAGCUAGCUCCACCAAUAAAGCCUUGCAUACUCCUUGGUGUCAUAUUAUUUCUGGUUUAUGACGGGUAAGUCUAGCUGAGUACCUUCUCGUACUCAGGGUUUAUUCCCACUUGUUGCAGGUUGUGAUGUAUCAUGGCUACUGCAAGAGUUGGAUGAGUCCUACCAUAAUAGAGGAGUAAGAUCAUGGGCAUGAUCCUUCUUAGUUACCUCAUCUAUGUUGCUUUUGUUGGAGUUGACCUGAAUACUGGCAUGUAUUUGAAAUGAGGGCAAUAUUGGUUUCAAAUUACUUUACUUCCACUACUUUUCAACUCAAGUUGUAAUAAAUAUAUUAAACUCUGAUGUAUGUCAAACUACUUGUGAAAUGGAUGUAACAUGUGACUUGUUAUGUUGAAUCACUAUGAUCUUGGCUUGUAUGAUGGUUGGAUUGAAAUCCCUCGUGAUUUUACAAACUACCGGGUUUAUGAGAGUUCGACUAUGUUAAAGCAACUGCUUUGGCGGGAGUUUUUCAUAGUUGAUCUCUUGUAAAUUGGGCGGUUCUGUUACAAGUGGCAUGUAUUCGAUCCACUUCGAGAAUUUAUCGAUUAACACGAAGACGAACUUGAAGUUGCCGGGAGCUGGUUUAAAUGGCCCGAUCAUGUCGAGGCCCCAGCAGGCGAAAGGCCAGGAUGACGGAAUAGUUUGAAUCUCAUGAGCAGGUACGUGGGUCCUUUUGGCAAAGAACUGGCAUCCUUCGCAAUGUCGGACCAGUUUUUCUGCGUCGGUGACCGCGGUUGGCCAGUAAAAACCUGCUCGGAAAGUCUUCCCGACCAGUGUUCUGGAGGCUGCGUGGUUGCCGCAGGAUCCGGCGUGUAUGUCAUCUAGGAGCUUGAUGCCAUCAUCUUGGGAUAUGCAUUUGAGCAGCACUUCGGAACUUGCAUUUUUUUCGCAUAAGUUUGCCGUCCACCAGUAUGUAAUUCUUUGAUCGUCGAAUGAGGCGCUCGUUCUCCGUUUUAUCCUGAAAGCCUGACCCGUCCGAUAUAUACCUGAUGAACGGGGUGCGCCAAUCACGGAUGCUGGAUGUCGGAGUAGCGUCGUCUAUGAGCAUUGCCUCAAUAGGUUGCUUUUUGACCAGGUCUGUGCCCACACUUGGCUCAUGGAUGUCCUGGAUGAAAACACCUCGCGGGAUCUGGGCCCGAGAUGACCCUAACUUUGACAUCGCAUCCGCUGCCUGGUUCUUGUCCCGGACCACGUGGAUGUACUCUAUGCCAUAGAAGUUGGAUUCCCAUUUGCCGAUUUCUUUGCAGUAGAGAUCCAUCUUCUCGUGGGUUGCGUCCCAUUCCUUGUUGAGCUGGUUGAUAAAUAAAGCGGAGUCGCCGUGGACGUAGAGGCGUUUGACUCCCAACUCAACGGCUAGUCGUAUGCCAUGUAAGCAUGCUUCGUACUCAGCGACGUUGUUUGACGCCGGAAAAAGGAUCCUAAGGACGUAACGCAAUUUGUCCUUGUUAGGCGACACGAAAAGUAUCCCAGCGCCGGUGCCGUUGAUGUUCAAGGACCCGUCAAAGAACAUUGACCAGUGGUCGGAGACGUCGGAAACGGGAGGCUCGUUAAGAUCCGUCCACUCUACGAUGAAAUCGACCAGGGCCUGAGACUUGACUCUGGUGCGGCUCUGGAAAUCUAGGGAGAAUGGGCAUAACUCCAUUGCCCAUUUUACAAUUCUACCGUUGGCGUCUUUAUUGCGCAGAAUAUCACCAAGAGGGAAACUGGUGGUUACCGAGACCCGAUGGCCGUCGAAGUAGUGCUUUAGCUUCCUCGAUGUUAUUAGAAUGGCUUAUAUGAGCUUCUGUAUUUGUGGGUAUCUGGCCUUGGACUCAUUUAAGACUUCGCUUAUGAAAUAUACGGGUCUCUAGACCUUGUAGACGUGGCCUGGCUCGUCUCGCUCGACCACUAUUGCCGUGGAGACGACCCUGUCGGUUGCUGCAAUGUAAAGGAGUAGGUCUUCAUUGGGCUAAGGCACUGUGAGAACAGGCGGUGAGGUGAGGAAAGUCUUGAGCUGGGUGAACGCAGCGUCAGCUUCCUCUGUCCAGGAGAAUUUUUCUGACGCCUUCAAGAGUUUGAAGAAGGGAAGGCCUUUUUCUCCUAGUCUUGAGAAGAAGCGGUUGAGGGCGGCCAUACAUCCGGUGAGCUUCUGAAUAUCCUUGACGUUCUUAGGUGGUCGCAUGUCGAGCACUGCUUUUACUUUUGAAGGAUUUGGUCGUAUGCCGUCGCGGCUGACGACGUUGCCGAGCAGUAGACCAGAGGGGACCCCAAAGAUACACUUUUUCGGGUUAAGCUUCCACUUGUACUUGUUUAGUGCCUUAAAGGUUCGGUCUAAGUUAUCGAUUAGGGUGAUUGCGUCCCUUGUUUUGACGACGACGUCGUCUACAUAAGCCUCGAUGAGGUCAUCACGAAUCUCAUCGUGGAGGCAUUGCUGGAUGGCCCGUUGAUAGGUGGCUCCAGCGUUUUUGAGUCCAAAGGACAUGGUCGUGUAGCAGUAUGCGUCGAAGGGAGUAAUGAAAGAUGUUUUGAUCUGAUCAUCUUCCUUUAGCGAGAUCUGGUGAUAGCCAGAGUAGCAGUCUAGAAAAGAGAGGAGUUUGCAUCCGGCUGUUGAGUCGACCACCUCGUCGAUGCGAGGGAGACCAAAAGGAUCUUUAGGACAGUGUUUAUUGAGAUCAGUGUAAUCAACGCACAUUCUCCAUUCAUUAUUCUUUUUGCGUAUAAGAACCGGAUUGGUGAGCCAAUCGGGAUGAUACACUUCUUUUAUGAAUCCGGCUGCUAGAAGCCAUGUUAUUUUUGUCCUAAUAGCCUCCUUUUUAUCACGAGCGAACCGUCGCAGCUUUUGCUUGAUGGGUCUUGCGGUCUUCGAGACAUUUAAGGAGUGCUCGAUCAGGUUUCGUGGGACGCCGGGCAUGUCUGCGGGUUUCCAUGCGAAAACGCUCACGUUGUCCCUUAGAAACCUGACGAGCGCGUCUUCCUAUUUAGGGUCCAGGUUGGCCCCGAUGAGGGCCAUUUUCUCGGGGCUGCCUUCGACCAGCUGUACUUCCUUGUACUCCUUGGAUUUUGAAAUCUUCCUGGCGGUCUCCUGCUCGGGUAGUCGGAGCUGGUCGGGAGGGAGCUGUGCGGCUUGGCUUGCUGUUUCUGCCAUGCGAAUUGAAAGAUCAAUUGCUUCAGUGAUCUUGAAGCUCUCCUCCUUGUAGGUAUAUGCAGUGUAGACAUUGCCUCUGACAGUUAGGAUGCCCUUCUCUGUAGGCAUUUUGAGGACCAGAUAUGAGUAAUGUGGAACUGCCAUGAACUUUGUCAGCGAUGGUCGGCCCAGUAUGGCGUGGUAGGUUUCAUCGAAGUCGGCGACCACAAAGUUGACGAACUCUGUUCGAAAGUGGUCGGAUGUGCUGAAUUGGACAGGCAGUGUUAUCUGUCCGAGGGGCACUGAACUUUGACCUGGCAAGACUCCCCAGAAUUGAGUGUCGUAGGGCUUUAGCUGUGCCGGGGUUAUCUUGAGAGCAGGCAAGCUGUUGCGAAAAAGGAUGUCAAUGGAGCUUCCCCCAUCGACGAGCACGCACUCGAAUCUGAUGCUGUUGAUGCAAGGAUCCAGUAUUAGAGGGAAACGUCCUAGUUCCGGGAUGGUGGCCCACUGGUCCUUCCUGCUGAAGGAGAUUUCCCUGUGCGACCAGGGAGGGAAUUUCGGGUCAGCGAUUAGGCCAUCCGUGGUGUCUAUAUUGAGGCAGGCUCUUUUUAAGAGCUUUCUUUCUCGCUUAGACUCGGUGGAGACCUUGCCCCCAAAGAUGGAGUGGACCACGUCGGUGGGACUGACAUACUAGUGUCGUGGGUCCCUAUCCUGGUUAGGACGCGCAUUCCUCCAUCGUGUGGCUGGACUUUGGAUGCAGCUGGCAUGGUCCCUUCAACGUCUUGUUGUAGUCGUCCUGGUAGUCUCGCCGCCCAUUGGGACGCUUGACCGUAUUCACCUCGUGGUCGUGGUCAUGAGGGCGCUUGCCUCUGAAGUCAUCGCGGUUGUCACACCGCCUGUCCCAGCCUUCUCUGUGGUCCCGAUUGUCGGGGCGACGAUGGUUCCUAUUGUCGAAACGACCUCAACUGUCAUCUCGUCGAGGGGGCUGGUCGGGACCUCUCGCAUCGUCCCGGAUGAGUUUUUCUGCGUCGUCGGCGUCAGCGUAGUUUUUAGCCGUGGCAAGAAGCUCGGCCAUCGUUGUUGGUCUUUUGCGCAGCAGCUUGUUCUUCAGUGCUUCAUGGAAGUGCAGCCCCUUGAUGAAAGCAGAUAUGGCCUCGUCGUGGGAAAUUUUCGGGAUCUUAAGGCGCAUAUCCGAGAAUCGUCGGAUGUAAUCGCACAGAGGCUCGUUUUUCCUGUCCCUUAUCCUUUCGACGUCGUACUUGUUCCCAGGCUGCUCGCAGGUGGUGAUGAAGUUGUCGAUGAAAGCUUGGCAUAGUUCUUCCCAAGAAUCGAAAGAGUCCUCGGGCAGGCCUAGGAGCCACUGGUGACCAGCCUGGUCGAGGACUACUGGGAAGUUGUUGGCCAUGACGUGCUCAUCUCCUGCUGCUGAUCGGACGGCGAUCUCGUAAAGAGUGAUCCAGUUUUCUAGGUUUUCCUUGCCGUCGUAUUUUUUGAGUUUCUCGAGCUUGAAAUUGUGGGCCACACGACCUGGCGGAGGUGUGAAGAGAACUGUCUCAGGCCCGGGGGACCAUGCGUUGCAUCGUACUCAAUGCGACGCAGGUUUUCGUGAACUGCUCUCUCCGUGGCGCGCCUGUUGAUGCGGUCCCGGGCGUCUUUGGGAGGGAUAUUGUAUCGGAGAUCCCUGUGCUAGUUUACUUCCUGACCACGUCCGCGAUUAUGCUCGCGAUGGCCGCCAGCAUCCCGACCACCAUCAUCGCGCCGUGAAUCUUUUCGAUGAUUAUUGGGGGAACGGCUGCGGUGGUGCCUGCUGGGUUGUGGUGAGGUCUGGCUGUGAUGGCUCUGGUCGGAGGAGACCUCUGUAUAGGAGAUAGCUUGGACUCUUUUGAGCAGAGUGGCUGUCUGUCCCAUCGUGGCGAUCAGGUGUGCUCGAACGCUGGAUCGGACGCCCUGGCAUUCGGGAGUAUCAGGGAGUCGAUCUAAGUUGGCCAUGGCAACAGCCACGUUGGCGCUUGGUGUUUUGUAGACUGGCUGAUCCCCGACCAUGUCGAAAGCGUCGGUGAGGUUAUGUGGUGGGAGUUGGCGUUCCUCGUCUGCGCGUCAUCGGGUGCGGUCAGCAUUGCGCUGCUCGCGGAGCUGCCUUUGCUCGUCUGUUUCUCCGUCAACGACCGGCUCGUCGGCGCUGACAUUGAAAACGAGGUCUCCACGCCGAGGUGGAAAGACCGGGAAGCAAGAGAAACCCGGAGGAUACGGUGGUAAAUCCAGGUCGUAGUCUUCGUCCUCAGAGUUUAUGACUUCAGUAGGAACGGAGCCAGUGCUAGAGUUUGUGCUGGAAGCCUGGCCGUCCCGUAGUUCUCGGAUCGUCACCAUGUUGAUGUAGUGACGAGUUGGCCGAUUCUUCCGCUUUGGCAACCAACCAGCCCCGUUGAAGAGGGAUUUGAUGUGUCGCGAGUAAUCAACGGUCGAAUUGUCCAGCCCGUAAGGAGAGCCUUGAUCUGGACCAGCCUCGAGUUUGACGGACCAUCCUGAGGGGGUGGAGGUUAUCGUCAGAGACGUUCCCAGCUGUUCGUGUGUGACGACACAAGUUGGCUGGUAGGAGUUGUAAAAACCCGUUGGCGCGGCUUGGUCAGGCUGGUGUGAGAUCCCAUCUAUUAGUUGGGAGGCUUCGAGAAGCUUGAGGUCGGCGCGAUCAAGAGCUCGGAAAAGGUCCGAGCCAUCGAUCUUCUUUCCCCUGUAGCGCGGAAACGGCGGUCGGGUGCUCGGUGCCGGUGUCCGCGUGGUCAGAGCCGAUGCCUCCAUCGUCCCAGAUUGGAUCUGGGUUUCUUCCGAAACCGUGGCCGUGAGGCCACCGCCGCGAGUUGUCCACGUAAUCUGGCCGACGGUGAACGUGAGGCCUUCAGGCACGGCCACAGAAUCUGGAACGAUGACCAUCUUGUUCGCUGGAAAAGCUGUAUGCACACCCCCUACCUGGCGCGCCACUGUCGACGAAAGCUAGUCGGCAGUCUACCCUGGGGUAUACCCACGGUAGUAAUUUAUCGGUAGACGGUGCGCAAGCUACGAACUUGACGGUGACGCAAGACACAGACAAGGUUUUUAUCCAGGUUCGGCCGCCGUGUGGGCGUAAUACCUACGUCCUUCGUCUGAUUGUAUUGGAUUGUGUUGAGAGAAUCUCCUAGGGGGGUCCCUUGCCUCUCCUUAUAUAGUCCGGAGGGUAGGGUUACAGAUCUGGAAACUAAUCCUAGUCGGUUACAAUUGUCAUAGAUAGUUCGAUAUCAAUUCCUAUUCUAACCGACUAGAAUCCUGCUUGAUCUCCACGUCUUGUUUCCUUGCGCGAAACUCCGAGCUUGUCGGAUCAAGCCUCGAACUUGUCUCGUAAUGGGCCAAGCCUCCUGGCCCAAGUCUAGCCGUAAGGGUAUAGGGGUUUAUACCCCCACAAAUAUAGGUUUAAGCAUGGUGCUUAGACCUAGAUUACUUGUGGAUAUCCCCUGUCUAGCUGGAUCGUGUGGUAGGCCGCGUAGGUGACAGUUACGUUGGUCCCCUGUAGUCCACCUCUUGUUAGCAGGACGGGUAGGGUUUAUAGGCCUAUGGAUAAGCAUCCUUUGUGGUGUAUUCUUAUCACGUGGUUCGUCCCAGACAUAGACAUACCCCUUUGAAGUAGAGAAACCAUAGUUAUCCUCUCUAUUCUGCUACCAUCGCCCAUAUAUUAGAUUGCUCUACUCUCUAUUCCCAUAUUAUCACCCAUUGUUAUUUUACCUUUAAUAUUGUUCUUAUUCAAUUCUACCAUCUUUCCUAUUUACACCUACCUAUCUAUCUAGGUUAAGUUAGAGCGUAGAUCAGUUCUCCCGUUUCCCUGUGGAUAAGAUAAAACCUUUAACCGGGUAAAAGCUACAACGGUAUCCGUGCGCUUGCGGAUUUAUCUGUGUGCGUAUAAAUACCAUAGUACACUCUAGUGCCAUGUUGGGGAUGACAACCUAGUAUUCAAGUGGUGUUAGCAAGUGUGAACAAAGACCUACCAAGCAGAAACUGCGACGGUUCGCUCGUGACAAAAAGGAGGCUAUUAGGACAGAAAUAACACGGCUUCUAGCAGCCGGAUUUAUUAAAGAAGUGUAUCAUCCCGAUUGGCUCGCCAAUCCAGUUCUUGUAAGAAAAAAGAAUAAUGAAUGGAGAAUGUGUGUUGAUUACACUGAUCUCAAUAAACAUUGUCCUAAAGAUCCUUUCGGUCUCCCUCGUAUCGACGAGGUGGUCGACUCAACGGCCGGAUGCGAACUCCUCUCUUUUCUAGACUGUUACUCUGGUUAUCACCAGAUCUCACUAAAGGAAGACGACGAGAUCAAAACAUCCUCUAUUACUCCUUUCGGUGCAUAUUGCUACACCACCAUGUCCUUUGGACUCAAAAAUAUCGGAGCCACCUAUCAACGAGCUAUUCAGUAAUGCCUCCACGACGAGAUACGAGAUGACCUCGUCGAGGCUUAUGUCGAUGACGUUGUCAUCAAAACUAGGGUCACAAGCACCCUGAUCGACAACUUAGACCGGACUUUUAAGGCGCUGAAUAAAUACAAGUGGAAGCUUAACCCCAAAAAGUGUAUCUUUAGGGUCCCCUCUGGUUUACUACUCGGCAACGUCGUCAGCCGCGACGGCAUAUGGCCAAAUCCUUCAAAAGUUAAAGCUAUGCUCGAUAUGCGACCACCCAGAAACGUCAAAGACAUUCAAAAGCUCAUCGGAUGCAUGGCCGCUCUCAGCCGGUUCAUCUCCAGAUUGGGGGAAAAAGGCCUUCCCUUUUUCAAACUGCCCAAGGCGUCGGAAAAUUUCUCCUGGACUGAAGAGGCCAACACGGCAUUCACCAAGCUCAAGGCCUUCCUCACCUCACUGUUGAUGGUCCUUAAGUAUCAAAUUUAAUUAUCAAAUAAAUAAAGAAAAUGAUCCAAAUGAAAUCAACAUCUAGACUUAGGGUUUUAUCUGAUAGAAUUCCACGAGUUUUGGUGUUUGUCUAUUUCUGCAGGAGGUUAUUAGGAAAUACGGAAGAAAGGCCCACACGUCGGGAUUACAUAGAGAUAUUAACGUGUCGCGCAAUUAUCUUACAUCUAGAAGACUCCAGAAGACACGGGAAGAAAGCGGUGGCCGAACGGGGCCAGAGGCAGGGCGCCCGCCAUCCUUCCCUGGGCGCCCGCCCCCUCUGAGAGUCCAAUCAGGACUCUGUUUCUCGGGAGAUCUCCACCGACCUAAAGGAUCAAGGAUAACCGUUCAAUCUAAGUCGGUUUGAUCCAACGGUCCAUAUUCACUUGAAGGGACUAUAAAACCAGAACCCCUGGCCCCUGGAGGAGAGAGUCUCUCAACACUAAUUCAUUAUUCUCAAGGGAGAAGAAGCCUCUGAUCAAGAUUAGAGCCACCACAUCAAUUAGACAUCUAGAUUAGCAUAGCUACAUAGGAUUAGAACUAGAAGGAGUCAAUCUUCGAUUGGUUUCCGGAUCUGUCAAGAGGAUUCUUGGUAAUUCUCUAAUUGUGCUUCUAAUUGCUUUCUAAUUAUCUUUGUUCUUCAAUAUUAUGAAUAUGACUUUGUUCUACUUCAAUAUAUUGCUUAUGACUUUGCUCUACUUGUUUAUAUUCAAGAUUAUAUUGUUCUUAGUUUAUCAUAGUUAUGUACUUGGCUUAGUUAGAUUGGAUCUAUAUACAUGCUUAGGAUCGUAUAGCGUUUAUCCAUCGGAUCCAUGGGUAAAUGAUAGAUAUUGUGUAGGCGUGGUGCUUAUACCGUAUUUAUCUGCGAUUGUACCCAAUAUGCCAGAUUGUGGGGUAGUUCGUGAUAGUGACAGCUUCAUUGAUUCUUAUAUAGUCCCCCUCUCGUGUAUUGGGCUGGCAGAGCAAUAUUAUUACAGGGGAGUGAUUGCUAUGUUUCUCAUUUACCUUGCUAAUAUCACUAUGCAUGGGCGUAGUCUUGUCUUGCAAAGAUUGCUAAGUAUGCUUGCACUAAUUAUGAUAAUGCUAGACUAUAUAGUUGAGAAUAACUUAGGAAAUAUUCUUGUAGUUCAUUCUAAUUCCAUGCUAAUGACUUUCUAGAGUAUCUAAUUGAGGUGCUUAUCAUAUUUAUUAUGUGGCUAAGUUAUGAUCAGCUUAAUUAUCUUUGUCACUAUUCAUUAUUUCAUAUAUCUUAUAUGUGACACUUAUCCCUGUAUGAAAGAGUUAGAUAGAUGUUCUCAAUUAUAUAUGCAAUGAUAGAUACUCAAUCUCAUAUUCUAUUCUGUAAUCAAUAUUGAUGAUUGCUAAUCCCUUCCCAGUGGUAAAAAUAUAAAUAACGAUACCUGGAAUACUUCCCGGUUAAAAUGCUACAUUGGUAUUAAUCUGUGCGCUUGCAGAUCCCAUUCAUUAUUUAUUUAGAAGAGCAAUUUCAUAUUUCAAUACCGCGUCUCUCAUAUCAUGCUGGGGAUGACAACUUGGCUUAAGUGGUGUGAGGGAUAGGUUUGGCUUUUUUGGCACCGUUACUAGAAUUAGAAAACUAAUUCUACUUUUGGUAAUGAUGUUAAGAAUACCCAACAAGCAUUUUUGGCGCCGUUGCCGGGGAAGGUUGAUUACUAAUUAGGAAUGGAAUAAAGGAUUUUGAGUUAUCAUUCGCAUCACUAAUAUGAUUGAGCUUAUCUAUUCUCUCAUACAGUUUUACCCUGAUAUUUUUCUAUUUUAUCUUAUGCAGGGGAAUGUAUGAAUAGAAGACAUCUUCUAGGAAAUUUUGUUGACAAUCCCGAAGCAUUAUUCAAGAAGACAAGAGCCAAGCUAAAGAAGAGAUCAUCAACACUUCAGCAAGAAGCUUCAUCCAAUCAAGAAGAUCACCGAAACUUGUCUUCAGAGUUUGAAGCCAUAGCGAACAAAUCAAUCCGCGAGUUCUCAGCUCCCACUACGGACAACAUCUGCACUGGACCUACUGCAGAGAUCGAUGGCAACUUUGAGCUCAAGCCUAGACAUAUCAACAUGGUGAAAUCCAACCAGUUCUGUGGGAAGGCACACAAAGAUGCUAGUGCUCAUCUACAACACUUCCUGUAGAUUUGCAACACAUUUACCAUAUCUGGAGUUUCCAGAGAUGCUAUACUACUUCGCCUCUUCCCAUUCUCACUGUUAGGGAGAGUGAAGCAGUGGUUCUACGCUACAAAGGAGAAGAAUACUACGUGGGCACUCUGCUCAACAAACUUCCUGGCUAAGUUCUUUCCCAUGGGCAAGACCAAUGCUCUCCGUGGGAAGAUUACAAGUUUUCAUCAACAAAAUGAUGAAUCUGUUCCAGAAGCAUGGGAGCGCUUUCAAGACUACAUCCUAGAAUGUCCCCAUCAUGGAAUGGAGAGUUGGCUAUUGAUGUAGAUGUUUUAUCAUGGGCUCGGCAACAGUGCCCGAGAAACCAUGGAUGCUGCAGCUGGAGGAGCAUUCCUAUCACUUACCAUAUCACAAGCCACAGCUCUUGUGGAGAAGAUGGCGUCCAACCAAAGCUGGAAUGAAGAGAGGACCCAAACACGCAAGAGAGGUGGAGGUAUGCAUCAGCUGAAGGAGGUAAACAUGCUGUCUGCAAAGCUAGACCUACUCAUGAAGAAGCUCGAUGAUAGAGCUAGAGAUAAGAAAGAAGUUAUGCACAUCUACGACUCUCACAUGACUUGUGAGGAGUGUGGAGAUACUGGACACUCAGGCAAUCGCUGCCCUGAGAUACUUGAGGAUGUGAACUACAUCAACAACAACAACAACUACUACUACUACUACUACAACCGUCCUCAACAAAAUCAAGGUUGGAAUCAACAGAGGCCUAACUACUCAGGUAAUUAUCAAGGUAACAAUUCUUACAACAAUAAUAAUAAUUUUCCACCUCUGAGAGAGUUAGUGUCUAAUCAAGGAAAGCUAAUGGAUAACCUAUCUAAGAGAUUGGCAUCAAAUGAUAAAAUGCUAGAAAAUAUAAAUAAUAGAAUGGAUAAUUUCUCUACUGCCAUCAAGAAUCAAAUUAGCUUUAAUAAAAUGAUUGAAUCUCAGUUAAAUCAAAUAGCUGCUGUUGUUCCUACUACUAACCCCGGUAUACCAUCACAACCGGAAGGAUUAGAAUCUACAAAUCUUGUAGACAUGAUUGAUGCAGGUAAUUGGAGAAACCCCGUCACUGAAUUUACUACUGACCUUCUGCCGGUCAAGAGAGGCGAUCCAGGACGCCCCGUCAUCCCGAUCUCCAUCGGCAUGGUGGACGUCCCAGAAGCACUCUGCGACUUUGGCUCCAGCGUCAACAUUAUACCAAGGGUACUCUAUGAAAAACUCUUUACAUAUCCUUUAUUAAAAACAACCAUGUGUUUGCAGUUUGCAGAUCAGACGAUAAGUUUUCCAAAAGGAAUAUUGAAGAACCUUUGUGUCAGAGUUGGUACCUUGUACGCCCCAGCAGACUUCGUAGUGAUAGAGACCGGUAAUGAUGAGAGAGCACCCAUCAUCUUAGGGAGGCCAUUCUUAAACACCUCGGGAGCUGUCAUCUAUGCUAGUGCUGCCAAGAUCAGUUUCUACAUCAAAGGGAGGAAGGAGACAUUUUUCUUCAAGAACAAGACUACACAAAUCCCAGAUCAAUCCAGACGUGAAUCAAGGAAGAGGACCAACACGAGGAACAGGAACAAGCGAGUGUGGACCGAGUCAGGUAAGAUGGUCACUGCAGUUCAUGGAGGUCAAGAUCAUCAACUUAAGUCACCAUUUUUGACCAAGAAGGACAACCCAGGAAUGCCAAGCAUCUAUUGCUCCAUAAAUGGAUGCAACUUCUACAAGACGACUUGCGACACCGGAUCGGGCGUCAACAUAAUGGUCGUAGUCACCUAUCGGCUCUUGCUCGGAACCAUGCCCCUAAGACCAACAUACAUUCAGCUCCAGAUGGCAGAUCAGACAUUUCAAGAAGUUAAAGGAACAGUAAUUGAUGUCCUAGUCAAAAUAGAUGAUCAUUUUGUCUACACAGACUUUCAAGUUAUUGACAUGGGAGAAGAUGAAUACGAUCCACCCAUCAUCCUUGGAAGACCGUUCCUCAGCACCGUCAAAGCAAUCAUCUACAUUGGAACCGGAGAAGUCCAUAUGCACUUCCCCUCAGAGAAGGUACGCCAUUCUUUUAUUGACCCUAACUAUAUCGUUGAAGAAUCUAAGCAGGUAAGAAAAUGACGCAACCGCAACUAGUGGAGGGAAAUCAUCAAGGACGGGUGGGCAAACUAUGAAGGAGAAGUUGUAAGGUCAGAAGACGUAGAGUUUAAAUAGAAUUAUCCAGAGGAGACCGAAGCACCGAGUCAGGUAUGGAAAGAGAAGAUAACUAUACACGAAGAGGAGGCGCUGCUGAAAGUACCGACUCCGCCAUCCAACGAAUCCAAGGACAAUUGAGAAAACGGAGAGUCCCGUUCGGAGGACUUAAAAACACCGAACGCCUUGCCAAGAGUUCCACAAGCUUUAUUGUCUAUUUGAGCUCCGCAGAAUUUAAGAAUCAAGAAGACUAGCAGAUGAAGGACAUUCUAAUCGCUGUCAGAAUCCUGCUGACUUUCAAAUACACCUCUACCACCUGCUACCUACAUCAAGAGAAAUUACGUCAAAAUUCAG
rnacentral:lncRNA from 1 species